rnacentral:lncRNA from 1 species
UAUUUUCCACGUGAGUCUAGGGUGUCGUUUAUCCUUUAUGAUAAUCCAUUUACUAUCCCACUGGAGAAUUUUGCUUACCAUUGCAAACUUCCAUUUUGGGGUUCGCUUGAUGAGCCUCCAAUGGUUGAGUACGAGUCUUUCUUGACUAGCCUUUGUUACGGUGAAAAUAGGGGAGUGAGACAAGGAAGAAUAAAGAGCAUUCACUUUCCCGCAAUUCAGUAUUUUGCAUUAUUUAACGGGAAGUGCAUAGUAGGCAAGCAAGACUGUAGCAUACUUUGUGCGCCAGACUUGAGCCUCAUUCACACCGCUCUCACUGGUGAAAGGAAUUUAACCUUGGAGCGAUUGUUGCACAUAGACUUCAACACAAUGCUAACAAUGGUUGGUUCUAUGGUGGAAUUUAUGCCAUGCAUUUAGCACGAGAGCUGGGUGCUUCGCCUUUGCCCUUUGAUCCUAUCCUACCCACGCGGUAUUUAGAUUUUGACACUUUGAAGGAACACAAGAUCCUUAAGGGAAAGGUUGAUAAUUUCACUUACAAUCUAAUGUUUAACCAAAGAUCUAUUGUGGAGACAUAGUUGCCUGCGCCUGCUCUUUUUGAUUAUAACAGCAAGGGAAGAUAUUUUGUUCUUGAGAGCAAGGCCCGAGCUCAUAACGCAGCAGUGGUGGCGGCACGGCGUGCUGAGCCAUCCACAGAGAGCCUUCGUGAGCUACCACGCCAACUACUACCCUCCAGGCUACUGUCCGAUUAUCAAGUUAGGCCAAAAGCCUAAGCUUGGGGGAGUACGUGUUUCUCACCGACUUUACAUUCAUGUUCAUAUCAUUCUACUUGUCGGUGUUCACACUUUUUCAUUGUAUCAUCCAUGCUUAGAUUUAUUUUCUUGCUUUCUUCUUGUGUGUUUGAAAAACUUUAGAAAAACCAAAAAAAUUAGUUGUACUUAAUUUACUUCCUAUGCAUGCUUAGUAGUAAUAUUAAAAAGAAAACCCAAAAAGAUUUCCUUGUUCUUCUUUUGCUUGUUGGGAGCUUUCCCGUGUAAAUAUUUUUUUCUCAUUUUUUGCUUUUCCCUUUUAUUUGCUUGUUAAAGAAAACCAAAAACUCCAAAAAUAUCUCAGUGUGUUUCUCUGAAUUUCUUUUCUUUUUAUUCGAGUUGUACCGAGGAGAAGACCACGAUGAAAAUGUUGAGUGGCUCUCAUAUGAAUAAUUGUUGAACUAAUAAAGAGCACAUUUUACCUUGUCUUCUGUUAAAUAAAAUGUUUGCAGAUUCCAGCUUAGUCCACGGCAUUCUUGCACUAUUAUUAUUUUCAUAUCGUUCGGUCGUGCAAGUGAAAGGCAAUAAUGACGACAUUCGAUGAACUGGCCGUGGCAAAGACAAACUGGUAUGAACUCGACUUGUUCUGUUUGUGUAAAUAUGUUUAACCUAGUAUCCAGGCUUCAGCCCAUUAUGAUUAAACAUGUUUGCAAUGACAAUUUGAUUAUAGUUUCUCAUGCCAUGCAUAAGUAGCUGGGAGUUGAUAAUGAUUUAUCUUGGAUAUCAACAUAGCGUUAAAAUGAUUGUGAUGUCGUAUGAUGAUAUGGUAUCCUCCUCUGAAUGUUCAAGUGGUGUCGUGGUUUUAUCACGGCAGAUGUCCUCGUGAAAGGACUUAGUCGUGGAGCCAUCGCUACGGAUUAGCUUAAAGGGGUUAAACCGGACAAGGGAUACGAGAGUUUUAUACUAGUUCGGCCCCUUACGAUGAAGGUAAAAGCCUACGUCUAGUUGUGAUGGAAUUGCUGGGGUUUCGUUGAUCAGGGAGCGAAUACACUUUGCCUGAGUCUCGAGUUGUUGUCUGUUCUCCUUGAACCGCCGUCGGGUCGUCCCCUUAUAUACAUGGGUUGACGCCCUUCGGUUUACAGAAUCCCGAGGCCGGCUCAUAAACGUGUCCGGCUCGGCCUCUGCUCUUUUCUAUCUUACAACACAAGUUUACAUAUUAAUGUCGGUUUAUGUCUACAGGCCUUAAACCGGCUUUAUGCCCUGGGCCUUCAUAAAGCGUCACCGUCUGUCUUCAUGGGCUUCGGAUAUAACGAACUACUUACGGGGUUAACCCAGCCUCUCCUGGCCGGUUUACACCCAGUGGUAAUAUCCCCAACAUUAGGCCCUAGAUUGAUUUGAACUGGUUCAUGUCAAUCCUCAAUACUUAAGAAAAUUUCUUCUUCAACAUCUUCACAUAAUCUUGUAAACCGUCGUGACGUCACCUUCCAGGACCAUGAUAAACCGCCAUGACGUCAUCUGUUGUUUAAAACUGUAUAUAACCCAUCCUCAUUAAUGAGCCUCCGACAAUCGAGGCGAUAGUUCCGCCUCAUAUCCAAAUUUUGGGCUCCUCGAUUUUCGUGCCUGACGCUUAUCUUUUUGCCUUUAUAAAUAGGGCCAGGGGGUCUUUCCAUUCCCCCCCCCCCGCCCCGGUAUCUCUUCACCUCAUCUUCUUCCUUGCACAGCCCGACCUUUGGAGCUCCGCCGCCACCGUUGAACUUCGUUUCUGCCUCCGCGACGGCCGCUGCAUCAACCUGUCUGGACCAGAAAAGUGCGGCGCUCUUCCGCUGUUCCCUCAUCAUCAGUGAGUUCUUCUUUCCUUUGCUCCAGAUCCAUCAUUAGGGUUUCUAUGUUCAUCGGAGUCUAUCCAAUGCCCGCCAUUGUUCUUUCCUGUUCUUUUCAUUAGCAUAAACAGCUAGCUGGAUCCGAUAUUUCUUACGCGGCCGUAGCCAUAAUCCCCUUUUCGUUAGAUCUGUUCCUUUACACAAAAUUCAUCUGAACCUUGCUGAACUGUUCAAACUCUUGAAAUUAGGUAUGAAUUUAUUUUGAUUUUCCAACGCACGGUAGAUCUGAAAUUACCAUGCCAAACUGUGAAACUUGUUUUUCCUUCACUUAUACAUCUUUAGACUUAUACCAGAUUAGGCGGUUUAACUUCAUAGAAAAAAUGAUGACCCAGUAGAUACCAUUAGUCCCCUGUUGAACCGCCAAUGCACUUAUCAUUGUACUGUCUCCAUCUUCGGACUCUGGUUCACAAAUAACCAACUCCGGUUUAACAAUAUGCUAUAAAUCUUAAACCGGCAAUAAUCAUGUUUCAGAUCUCUCAUUGCCAUGGCCAAGCAAGUCUAUGAAUCCAAUUGGGCUCCUUCUCGAGUAACCGAAGAACAGUUAAACAAUCUUGUUAAAACGGGCGCUUUAGCCAAGAGAGAUGUCAUCCACUGGAGGGUCCCUGGCCCGGAAAAUCCUCCUAUACCCAAGGAUGGGGAGGUAGUUGUGUUUGUUGAUCACUUGAGUCGAGGUUUUAGCCCUCCCGGUUCAAAAACUUUCCGGGAUGUACUGGCCAAUUUUCAACUGCGCCCUCAAGACAUCGGUCCAAAUUCUGUGACCAACAUCUGCCACUUCCAAGUCUUCUGUGAGGCCUAUCUAUAGGAGGAACCUACAGUCGUAUUGUUUAGGGACUUCUUUCACUUAAACCGUCGCACAGAAUUCACAGAUGGACCCAAUACGGAAUUGGGUGGAAUGGCGGUUCAGAAAAGGAAGGAAGUUACUUUUCCUCAUCCCAAGCUCCACAGUCACCCCAAAGAGUGGAACCAGACCUGGUUUUAUUGCAAGGAUACAUCUCCAGCUGAUGAAAAUCCCCUGCCGGGUUACCACCCUGAACGCCUUAGCAACACACACCCUUUUCCUCAGAGGCUGACUGCAAAAGAGAGGGCCAACUAUGAUCCUCAACUAUCAAAGAUUAGAGCCUUCAUGGUGAACGGUUUGACAGGAGUUGAUCUUGCUCGUUGCUGGAUAAGCUGGAGUAUUCUGCCCUUAAGCCGGCGCUCCGGUUUGAUGUGUGAGUACACGGGGAGUUUGAAGGAUGCUCAACGACACAUUGACAUUCAACUUACAGAUGCGGAAGUUACUGAGGCUGUAAAGAAGAUGCUGAAUGAACCGGAGGCUGUCUGUGCCCAAACCGGACUGCUCCCUUUCUGUACCUUCCACAAACCGCCAGCUGUAAGAAUCAUAUAAUCUUUUUAUCCGAAGUUGCUUCUGUCCAAAUAUUUUCUGAAUUUGUGAUUAUCUUCUGACAGGGUAAUGAUCUGUUCUGGAACAAGAAACCACAAGAAAAACCGGCAAAACCGCAAGACAAACCGGCCAAGCCACUUCGCCCAAAGACCAAGGUUGUUAAGAAACCUGGCAAGAAAAGGACCACUACAUCCUCCGAGCUACCAGCUGAUGACGAUGUGGGUAACCCGGAAUCAGAGGUAGAACUUGACUCUCUUGGUUCAUUUUUCGUACACCUCAUUGACAAUGAUUAUUAUCAGGACGACGCUGAAGGCAGUCACGCUGAUGAUGUAGAGGUAACCAUUCUUUCCUCUGAUUCAGAUCCUCUGCCAACAUCAAAAAUCCGUCGAGCAAACCGGAAAAUAAAAUUUUCUCACCCCCAUGCUUACUUGGACCCAAACUUUCUUUUGAAGACACAGCAGCACGAGGCUCGCUGCACAACCCGGCACAGUGGCAAGGUAGUUACCUCCGCCGGUUUACCGAACAGCCCGGUUCGGAAACGCCGAUCAGAGGUCUCUUAUCCCCUUGACACUUCAUGCCCCAAAGCAGGUUGUUUCCGCCAGCCUCUUAACCCAUCUGAUUCAAAUUAUCAGGGCACUUCUCACUCAUCUUCUGGCGAGUCGUCGGCCACAAAACUUCCACCCCUCAAAACAGUUCUUGGGUGAGCUAUAUACUUGUUUUUAUCCUUGAUAUGUUAUUUUGAUAUACUGUACUGAUCCUCAUGUUUAUUUUUCUCAGCGCCAAGCCCAGACCCAGCAAGAAGGCUCGGUUGAAUAAACCGGCUAAUGAUGACGUGGCUAUUGAACCGGAAAAAACUCCAGAUCCUAAAGAAACCAACGUUGAUGCCAUACUGAAUGACCCACCGCCUCAAGAUCAUGACUUUGUUGCUGAGCAGAUAGAAGUUGACACUGCAAGCCAUGCUGACCAGCCAACCAGCCCUGUCCGAACUGAUGAUAAACCGGCCAGUCCAGUUAAAAAUACGGACAAACCGCCAACCCCAGUGACGGCUGCUGAUGACAAAGAUGAUGAUAUUAUGAUUACUGGCACUGGCCAUACCACUCCUGGCAAUCCUGUCGCUUUGUCAAAGCAUACUGCCAAAGACGAGCUUUCUGCAAUUGGCAAAGGCAAAUGGAAUGCCGAUUUGUCAAAUUAUGCCCAUCUUAAUGCUCAAGACCUUCACUCCGGCUUCCUGAACCGUCUGUACACCAGCCGUGACUAGGAAGCCGGUUUGGUAAAUUUGAUGAAGGAGCGAUAUGAGGUAACUUCAUAAGUGUUUCUCUCUUAUAUUUAAUUGCAGCUUAUCAACUCCAGUAGCCCCCAAGUGACGUUUAAGAUGCCAAUCUAAACCGGGACUUAGUAACAAUUUCAUGUUUGCAACAAUGCAUCUUAACUUCACUGAUGUAGCCCCCAAAGGCCGGUUUAACUUUAUAAAGAUGAACCGGGACUUUGUAGAAGAAUUCCCAUAUCAGUAAUUUAUGAGCAAAUACACAUUAGCCCCCAAGUGCCAAGCUUAAUACUUGUAUUGUGCUUGGGACUUGUGAAAAUUUCUGAUAAAGAGCAAAUAUGCAUUAGCCCCCAAGUACCAAGGGCAUAACUUGUUAUGUGCUUGGUACUUCAAAUAUGUAUUGUCAACUCAUUAUAUAUCUGUCUCUUUAUAGGCUAAAUUGAGCAAUAAGGAAAGCCAAACCGCUGAUCUGCAAGAGAACCUCAAGUCCCAGCAAGCCAAAACCUCCAAAGCCAAGGAAGAGUUGACCAGCGCUCUAGGCGCUAUGGAGAAACUGAAAGAUGGCUUCAACAAGGAGCGGGCGGAUUGGGAGACUGAAAAAUCCACUUUGAUAGAAAGGGCUGAAAACGCAGAAGCCGCUUUUAAACCGGUGGUUGAUGAACUGACCGGCGUAAAGCGGCAGAUUCAUGCCAUGACUGCUGCUAUGUUCGGUAAACAUCUUUUCCUUAAUACUUCCAACGUAUCUUCCCAUGUGUUGUCGGUUUACUGAUGUGUAUAAUGGUGCAGGAACUCGUAUUAGCCAUCUGGGCUCUAAUGUACAGAAGAAAUUGAAAGCGGCCUAUACUCUGAUAGAGCAGCUGUAUACCGGUGCGCAGCGGAUCAUCUAUACUACUUCACACAAUAAUCCUCCUCCCACUUUGAUCAAGGAUACCUUAGAAAGGUUAUCUAUGCUUCCUGCCCAGGUAGACGAGCUAAAAAAGUCUGCCGCAAGAACGGGCGCUUUGGCUGCACUAACCCAGGCAAAAGCAUGGGUACCUGACUUUGAUCCAGUGGAAGCGGCCCAAGGCUAUCCCAGUUUGAAGGAAGACGGAACAGAAUUUGGCAAUGAUGAUCUCCGAAUCAUAAACCGGGAAGUACGCCCAUUGGCUUGUCAACUGGUUGAAGAAGCAGAUCUCUCGUACUAUCAGGCGUGUCAUGAUGAUAAGAACAGACGGGUUGCUGCACCAAUUCCAGAAGCACAAAAUCUUAUCCCACCAAUCCGUAAGCACACUUAUGCCCCUGACAUUGAACCGUCCACGCUUAUAAGCGAUGAAGCUGUAUUCCAAGCCCUAACUAGGAUCGACUGGGCAACUGUUGACUUCCAGCCACUGGGUAGAGAGGAGGGAGUUGAACCGGCGCGAGAUGAUCCGCAGCCGUCAGGCCAAACUGGUGACCAAUCAUGAACCGGAGGCCGGUUUAGUCUUCCACAUGCUGCAACAUGUUUUGAGAAAACAAUUAUCCUUUUGGGCACGGAAAUGCCUUGUAAUAGGCUAGUAAAAAUACUUGGUCUAGUAUGCCUUCGUGCAUUUUUAUCUGCGGCUGAUGCUUGCUUAAUCCGACAUGCUUAAGAUAUGAUAUUCAAAAUCCAUAGCCAUUUAUUCAAGCUGUUCCUGCAGAUAAGAAGCUUAAAGCGCCCUGGCGUUUACCCCCGGGCGGGUCAUGAUACCCAAAUAUAUAUAUAUAUGACCAAGGUUGUAAAAGAUAACCAAAUAUGGAAAUAUAUAAUACCUGUGACCUUUAGGCAUAAUGUUGGCUGACCAACGUUGUAGUGAGGGUCAUAACCCUACUCUGGAGGAUAAGUAACUCCUGUUAUAUGAUGUCGGUUUACAAUAAAACCGUUCCGGGUUGUGAUAAACACCGGUUUAUUCCGUACUGGUGACUUUGAGUCAAAACCGGACCGGGCUGAUAGUCUCCGGAUUAUAAUUUGAUUGUGUACUGACAACUUGUAGUUGAUAGCCUAACCGGGUUGAUAAACACCGGUUUAAAAAACAUCACAAAUCUUAUGAAAACAAAGAAAACUUAGCAAAAGGCAAAUAAAAACCGUUGUAGUCGAGGCUUUUCACGGGCUGCCAGGCCCCAAAUUCGAGGCUUUUCAUGGGCUGCCAGGUCACUGAGUUAAAUCAUUUUUGCAAAGCCUUUUAAGAUGGUCCUCAAUCCUUAACCAAUCAUCGUUUUCACUUGAAAAGUUCAGGGUCUUCAUUUUAGAGUAACAUGUCAAAGUUCGAAGGGUCAUACCAGGUUUACCUGGGCGGAGUGACUUACUUAAAUAGCCAGGUUAACCUGGGGUUUUAGGUGUAUACACCAGGCUUCCAAGCCAUGGCUUGAUAGCCUAUUACAAGUGUAGAUUCUUAGUUCAUUUCGACAGCAAAGAAUCCCCAAGUAAUAUUUUGAGUUGUGCUCAGUGGGUGCCUAUGUUUGAGUUGUUGUUUUUCAACACUCUCUUUGGCCCCGGAUUGAUUUGGCUUUGAGCCGAUCAAGAGGUGUGACUAUGGUUCGGAUACGACCAAGCCCCCAAGUGAUGUUGUGGCAUUGCGCCGAUCAAGAGGUGUAGCUAUGGUUCGGAUACGACCAAGCCCCCAAGUGAUGUAAUAUAAAGCUUUGAGAAGCUAAAUCAAGGGGUAAACCGGGCGCCGCUUUAUAAACAGAAGCUCCAUGUAACCACACAUGAUGUAAGAAAACAACAGAUACCCCGCUUUAGCUGAGGUUCCGGUUUAUUAUAUUGAUCAUAAUAUAUACAUUGUCAUAAUAUGUACAUAAGCAGAGCCUAUGGCUCAAGUAUAGUAAGGCCGAAGAUGAGCAAUAUUCCACGGCCGGUUGGUCUCCUCCUCCGAUUUACGUGAGUCUUUGCGCUCUCGGACAUCGAUUAGGUAGUACGACCCAUUGUGUAGAUUCUUGCUGACCACAAAGGGUCCUUCCCAAGGGGGAUAGCUUGUGCAUAUCUGUCUGAUCCUGGAUGAGUCGAAGCACCAAAUCACCUUCUUGAAAGGUUCUGGUUCUAACCAGGCGGCUAUGAUAACGAUGCAGAUCUUGCUAAUAAAUUGCCGAACGGGCUGCCGCCAUGUCACGAUCCUCAUCUAACAGGUCAAGAGCUUCCUGCUGUGCCUUCUCGUUGUCAGCUUCAACAUAUGCCGCUACACGAGGUGAGUCAUGACGGAUGUCACUAGGAAGAACCACUUCUGCUCCAUAAACCAUGAAGAACAGUGUGUAUCUUGUUGAUCUGUUGGGUGUGGUAUUGAUGCUCCAUAACACAGAGGGUAACUCCUCAACCCAACAACUCGGCGUCCGUUGCAAAGGAACCAUAAGUCGGGGUUUGAUGCCUCUCAAGAUCUCUUGAUUGGCCCUCUCCGCUUGACCAUUGGACUGGGGGUGAGCCACUGAUGACACGUCAAGCCGGAUGUGCUCACGUUGACAGAACUCCUUCAUGGCACCCUUUGACAGAUUGGUACCAUUGUCUGUUAUAAUCCUGUGUGGAAAGCCAAACCGGAAGAUCACCUUUUUGAUGAAUUGAACCGCCGUGGCUGCAUCACACUUACUAACUGGCUCUACCUCCACCCACUUCGUGAACUUAUCAACCGCCACCAAAACGUGGGUCUUCUUGUCCUUGGACCUCUUGAAAGGCCCAACCAUAUCCAGCCCCCAAGUUGCAAACAGCCAGGUGAUUGGAAUCAUCCUCAAUUCUUGAGCCGGUACAUGAGCACGCCUUGAGAAUUUCUGACAGCCAUCACAUCUUUUGACCAAGUCCUCAGCAUCAGCAUGAGCUGUCAACCAAUAGAAACCAUGAUGAAAUGCCUUGGCCACCAAAGACUUUGAACCGGCGUGGUGACCACAAUCUCCUUCGUGGAUCUCACGCAAAAUUUCACGGCCUUCUUCAGGAGACACACAGCGUUGAAACGCCCCUGUCACACUGUAAUGAUGUAACUCUCCAUUGAUAAUAGUCAUGGACUUGGACCGCUGGAUUAUCUGCCUGGCCAAAGUCUCAUCCUCUGGUAACUCGCCCUGGUUCAUAUACGCCAGAUAUGGAACCGUCCAAUCCAGGAUAACAUGAAGAGCCGCCACCAACUGAGCCUCGAGAUCAGGAAUAGCCAAAUCCUCUUCACCAGGGAGCUUGACGGGCGGAUUAUGCAGAACAUCCAGGAAGAUAUUAGGUGGAACCGGUUUACGUUGGGAACCCAGGCGGCUUAAAGCGUCUACCGCUUCAUUCUUCCGCUGGUCCACAUGAUCCACCUGAUAACCUUUAAAGUGACCUGCAACAAUAUCCACCUCACGACGAUAUGCUGCCAUGAGUGGGUCCUUGGAAUCCCAAGUGCCAGACACUUGUUGCGCCACCAGAUCCGAGUCACCGAAGCACUUAACUCGGCUCAGGUUCAUCUCCUUAGCCAUCCGAAGACCAUGGAGCAAAGCCUCAUAUUCAGCUGCAUUGUUAGUGCAAGGGAACAUUAAACGGAGAACAUAACAAAACUUAUCACCUCGUGGGGAAGUUAAUACGACUCCAGCCCCCGAUCCCUCCAAUUGCCUGGACCCAUCAAAAUGAAUAGUCCAGUAAGUAUGAUCUGGCAUCUCUUCUGGCGCUUGUAGCUCUGUCCAAUCAUUGAUGAAAUCCACAAGUGCCUGAGAUUCGAUCGCCGUUCGGGGUAUGUAUUUCAACCCGUGAGGCCCGAGCUCGAUAGCCCACUUAGCAAUCCGGCCAGUUGCUUCCCUGUUCUGGAUUAUAUCCCCCAAAGGAGCAGAGCUGACCACCGUGAUGGGAUGACCUUGGAAAUACUGCUUAAGCUUCCGGCUUGCCAUGAAAACUCCAUACACCAAUUUCUGCCAAUGCGGGUACCUCUGCUUGGACUCAAUAAGUACCUCACUGAUAUAGUAAACCGGCCUCUGAACCGGAUAUUCCUUUCCGGCCUCCUUGCGCUCCACCACAAUAGCCACACUAACAGCCCGGGCGUUAGCUGCCACAUAUAGCAAUAAUGGCUCCUUGUCAACCGGAGCAGCGAGAACCAGCGGAUUAGCCAGCUGUCGCUUUAAGUCCUCAAACGCUUCAUUAGCGGCAUCACUCCAGACGAAGUUAUCCGUUUUCUUCAGCAUCUGAUACAAAGGAAUGGCCUUCUCGCCAAGGCGACUGAUAAACCGGCUCAACGCGGCAAUCCGGCCCGCCAGGCGUUGAACAUCAUUGAUACACUUCGGUUUGGCCAAGGAGGUGAUGGCUUUGAUCUUUUCGGGAUUAGCUUCAAUGCCCCUGUUAGACACCAAAAAGCCCAAGAGCUUGCCAGCAGGUACACCAAAGACGCACUUGGCCGGAUUAAGCAUCAUUUUGUAAACCCGCAGGUUAUUGAAGGUUUCCCUCAAGUCAUCAAUCAACGUCUCCUUCUUCCUUGAUUUCACCACAAUAUCAUCCACAUAGGCGUGAACAUUGCGGCCGGACUGUUUAUGAAGACAAUUCUGCACACACCGUUGAUAAGUCGCCUGGGCACUCUUGAGCCCAAAGGGCAUGGACACAUAGCAGAAGGCUCCAAAGGGAGUUAUGAAGGCCGUCUUCUCCUGGUCCUUAACUGCCAUUUUGAUCUGAUGAUAACCAGAAUAUGCAUCCAAAAAGCUUAAACGCUCGCAACCCGCCGUAGUAUCAAUAAUUUGAUCAAUACGGGGGAGGGCAAAAGGAUCUGCUGGACAAGCUUUGUUGAGAUCUGUGUAGUCCACACACAUACGCCAAGUGCCGUUCUUCUUAAGGACCAGCACCGGAUUAGCCAACCACUCAGGAUGGAAUACUUCAACGAUAAAUCCAGCCGCCAAGAGCCUGGCUACUUCUUCUCCAAUAGCCUUACGUCUUUCUUCAUUGAACCGGCGGAGAAACUGCUUGACCGGUUUAUACUUGGGAUCAACAUUGAGAGUGUGCUCAGCGAGUUCUCUCGGUACACCUGGCAUGUCAGAAGGCUUCCACGCAAAGAUGUCCCGAUUCUCACGGAUGAACUCGAUGAGCGCGCUCUCCUAUUUCGAAUCCAAGUUAGCGUUGAUGCUAAACUGCUUGGACGAAUUGCCAGGCACGAAGUCAACAAGCUUAGUCUCAUCAGCCGAUUUAAACUUCAGGGCCGGAUCAUGCUCUGUAGUUGGUUUCUUCAAUGAAGUCAUAUCUGCCGGAUCAACAUUGUCUUUGUAAAACUUCAACUCUUCUGUUGCACAAACCGACUCAGCAUAAGCCGCAUCACCUUCUUCACACUCCAGAGCGAUCUUGCGGCUCCCAUGCACGGUUAUAGUUCCCUUGUGACCCGGCAUCUUGAGCUGCAGAUAGACAUAACAAGGCCGUGCCAUAAACUUAGCAUAAGCUGGCCGUCCAAACAGGGCAUGAUACGGGCUUUUGAUUUUUCACCACUUCAAAGGUCAAUGUUUCUGAUCUUGAGUCAUGCUCAUCUCCAAAAGCCACCUCCAGAGCUAUCUUACCAACAGGAUAUGCUGAUUUACCAGGCACCACACCAUGGAACACCGUAUUGGACGGUUUAAGAUUUUUAUCUGUUAACCCCAUGCGACGGAAAGUUUCAUAAUAAAGGAUAUUGACACUACUCCCUCCAUCCAUGAGUACCUUAGUGAACUUAUAACCUCCCACCUGAGGUGCCACCACCAGUGCCAGAUGACCCGGAUUGUCAACCCGGGGCGGAUGAUCUUCUCUACUCCACACAAUCGGCUGCUCGGACCAACGCAAAUAACGGGGCACCACCGGUUCAACGGCAUUCACUGCCCUUUUAUGAAGCUUCUAAUCGCGCUUGUCCAGGCUAGUGGUGAAGACAUGAUACUGUCCGCUAUUCAACUGCUUCGGGUUGCUCUGGUAACCCGACUGCUGCUGCUGCUGUUGCUGAUUCCCCUAAUUGUUAUAACCACCUUGGUUACCCUGAUUGCCUUGAUUGCCAUGCCCGCUCUGGUUACCGUGAAAACCUGAACCGGAACUGCCUCCACCAUAACCCAGCCCAUGAGACCCGGGGCCCGAACCGCCACCCGGUCCAUGAUCAUACCAGAAAGAAUUAGAAUUUUUGAACUCUUGCAUGAUGUAGCAAUCUUUCCAGAGGUGCAUGGAUGGAUUCUCCUUCGUCCCAUGUUUUGGGCAAGGCUGGUUCAACAGAUAAGACAGGCGGUCCGGGUUAGGACUUGGUCCUCCAUCGCGCUAGGGCGGUUUACCCUUACGCCGUUGGCCCUUGUCCUGCGUGCUGGUAUUAGCCACAAAGUCUAAGCCGUGGUCCGCUUUACGCUUGCCGCCGUUUCCAUGACCCGCCGGGUUGUGGUGCUGCCCCUUGGCGUUGCCGCUCCUUUUUCCCUUCCCUGUCUUAUCAUCGUCAGACUCGGGAUCCUUGGUACUAUCAGAGUCGGCAUACUUCACCAGAGCAGCCAUGAGGAUUCCCAUGUCAUUACAAUGAAGUUUGAGCCGUCCCAACUUCAACUUCAGGGGUUCAAACCGGCAAUUGCCUUCCAAUGUUAAAACUGCGGUAUCAGCGUUGAUGCGGUCCGAUGAAUGCAAAAUUUCCGAAACCCGGCGCACCCAACAGGUUGUUGACUCUCCUUCCUCCUGGACACAGGCAGCUAAGUCCACAAUUGACAUGGGCUGCUUGCAUGUAUCCUUGAAAUUCUGGAUAAACCGGGCUCUCAACUCGGCCCAUGACCUGAUAGAAUUAGCCGGCAAGCUCUUUAGCCAAGUGCGGGCUAUCCCUUCCAGCAUCAUGGUGAAGUAUUUCGCACACGCCGCAUCAUCCACAUCCAGCAUCUCCAUGGCCAUCUCAUAGCUUUCGAACCAUGUCUCAGGGGAUAAAUCGGCGGUGUAAUUCGGCACCUUGCGCGGGCCUUUGACAUCCUUGGGCAGGCGCACAUUGCGCAAUGCUGGGACGAGACACGGCACUCCCAAAGAACUAGAAGUAACUCUUGGUUCCACCGACGUGGUUGGACGAACCGGAGUAAGCUAACGGGCUUCAUGCUGCGCCGCUAACUCAGCCUAUCUGCGUGCCCGAGCCCGGUCCACCACCUCCUGAGCAUCACCAGCACCACCCGCCGGGUUAUUGCCACGGGGCGGAUCACGGUUCCACGCAUUGCUUGACACUGCUGGUUCAUCCAUACGCCUGCUGUAACUCCGGCUUGGACGGGGAGUGGAAUGAAUCCGAUCGCGACUAUAUGAAUAAGCCUCCUGUUGAACCAAGGCUGUCUGAAGAAGCUCCUUAACCCGACGCGUCUCGACCGCCGUCGGAGAAUCGCCUUCGAUCAGGAUGGCCGCCAGCCGUGAAGCGGCAGCGACAAUGUUGUCCAUCAGGUUAGAGUAAUGACCCGGUGACGUUGGGACAUGCAGUGUUACAAUGUUGUUCUGACGAGGCGGAUCCACCUAACGUGGCUGAACCGGCGCCCCUGCUCCAGGCGCCUCCGCCCGGUUUACCACCGGCGGAUUACUGGUCCCUGCUCCUGGGGUGUUAAAGAGGUUUCUAGCGUCAUAAACUGGCGGCAGGCGAGAUCGGUACCUCCUCUUCAGGACUUCGUUCGACGCACUUUGAUCCAGCAUAAUCCGGUAAGCCUGUGCAUCCAAAGCAGCCCGCUCCGCGGCCAUCCUGGUAUCCUCAGCUGCUAAGUCGGCUUUGGCCUGGGUGAUCUGAUCUUUCACCUUCGCGAUUUCCGCAUUUUGUGCAUCCUGAUCCGCCGGGUUAACCUCUGCCAUCAGCGUUGCCAACGCGUCAAACAAAUCAGAUAGAACCUGAGCCGGCGGUCGCACAGGGCCUCCUGCCCCGGCCGCUGUUGCCGCUGCCGAUCCGGAAAUCAUCGCCGCUGCGGUCGAAGAGUGGAGCGCCGGUUGCGUACCGGCCAUGAAGAUCGCAACCCGGUUUGGCAGAUCAAAGGGGUCCGAAAUACUGUCGCCAUCGGAACAGCCCCCAAUCCGGCCAUCUUGUAACUGAUAUAACGACUCGGUCUCUCCGGUCGAUGACUCGUCGCCGGAAUAAACGACGGUUUCACCACCAGAUUCCGAUCUAUCCUCAGAUUCCCCUCCAUGGAUGACUCCCACGAAGGCACGAUUCAUGACAGGCUUGACCCGGGCAGAUCUCGCACAUUGAGCCGUUUCGAUGAGGUCGGUGCAGAUGUCCGGCUCAGGACCCGGUUCGCCGAUCUUGCCAAUGAAAACGUGUAUGCCACCAAAGGGGACCCGGUACCCGUACUCGAUUGAGCCGGCCUCGGGGCCCCAGCCUGCAUCGUCAAUGUACAGCUUGCCGCGAUGACUCUUGGUCAUCCGGCCCACCGCGUAACCCUUGAGUCCUUCGAAGCUGCCCUCCAAGAACUUGAAACCAUCGUGCGAUAGCCCCACGGUGGGCGCCAACUGUCGUGGUUUUGUCACGGCAGAUGUCCUCGUGAAAGGACUUAGUCGUGGAGCCAUCGCUAUGGGUUAGCUUAAAGGGGUUAAACCGGACAAGGGAUACGAGAGUUUUAUACUAGUUCGGCCCCUUACGAUGAAGGUAAAAGCCUACGUCUAGUUGUGAUGGAAUUGUUGGGGUUUCGUUGACCGGGGAGCGAAUACCCUUUGCCUGAGUCUCGAGUUGUUGUCUGUUCUGCUUGAACCGCCGCCGGGUCGUCCCCUUAUAUACAUGGGUUGACGCCCUUCGGUUUACAGAAUCCCGAGGCCGGCUCAUAAACGUGUCCGGCUCGGCCUCUGCUCUUUUCUAUCUUACAACACAAGUUUACAUAUUAAUGCCGGUUUAUGUCUACAGGCCUUAAACCGGCUUUGGGCCCUGGGCCUUCAUAAAGCGUCACCGUCUGUCUUCAUGGGCUUCGGAUAUAACGAACUACUUAUGGGGUUAACCCGGCCUCUCCUGGCCGGUUUACGCCCAGUGGUAAUAUCCCCAACAAGUGGCUUGACUUGGCACAUGUUUAUGCACGUAGUUGAAUCAAAACCAACAUAGCCUCUAUGAUAUUUAUGUUCAUGGUGUUCAUAUCCUACUCAUGCUAGUGUCCAAUGUUACUUAUGCAUAAUGCAUGGUUAUAUUUGUUGUUGCUCUCUACUCGCUGCUUCUCAAUCUUAAUUGGUAGCCUUCGCCUAUACUAAGUGGGAAUUCUGCUUGUACAUCAAAAACCUUGAACCCAAAGUUAUUCCAGAUGAGUCCACCAUACCUACCUAUAUACGGUACUACCCUGCCAUCCUAAUUAAGUAAAUUUGCAUGUGCCACCUCUAAAAACUUCUAAAAAUUAUCCUUCUUGUGUGCCUGGAUCGUUCAUGGAACAACAGGAGGUGGUCGAUAUCUUCCGUGCUAAGCAGGUUAUUCUCAGGUCGAGUGUUUAUUCACUCGCCAUCGCACGAGAAAAGGGCGGUAAUAGGGAUUCCUAGUCCCGAACUAAAAAAUGAAAAAUAAUUAAACAAAACUCCCCUGAGACUGAUGUUGGUAUGGACGGCACCCAUUGUUUCGGACAAGCCGUGGAGCGUGAUUGAUGGUGGAGGGGGAGUAAACCUUAUUUUUAUCGCUUGGGAACCGCCACUAGCGUGCUUAGCAUGGAAGAUGUUGAUAACUGAUGGUCGUGAAGUGAAUAAGAAGGGUGCAUGUCUCAAAAUAUCAUUUAUCUCUGUUUUAAAAAUUGAGCUCUGGCACCUCUGCAAAUCACUGCUUCCCUCUGCGAAGGGACUAUCUAUUUACUUUUAUGUUGUGUCACCACCUUCUAAAAACAAGCGCCAGAAACUGAGUAGAGCACAGUUGUCAUGAUUUAUGCAUUGUGUGUAGCUAAUGUUGGGUGCAUCAUGACUGGAUCUUUUCUACCAUGAAUUACAAUGUUUAGUCACUGCUUAAACUUUGGAGGUGCUCUGCAUUUAUGUUUUGCGGUCUCAGAAAGGGCUAGCGAGAUACCACUAUUGUCAUAUUAUAUCAUGGUUGUUUUGACAAUGUGUUGCCAUUUGAGAUAUCUUAUUAUUGCUCGCUAGCUGAUUAUGUCAUUGAUAUGAGUCAUUAUAAUCUUUAAGAGUUAUUGACGACAUGGUUAGUAAUAAUGUUGGCUGAAAACCUCGGUGUUGUUUAAGCUUAUUUAUGCAAACAAGAGCAAAAGAGUUUGUAAAAGUUUUUCUUUCUCACUUUCAGUUUAUCAACUGAAUUGCUUGAGGACAAGCAAAGGUUUAAGCUUGGGGGAGUUGAUACGUCUCCAACGUAUCUACUUUUUCACACGCUUUUCCUCUUGUUUUGGACUCUAAUUCGCAUGAUUUGAAUGACACUAACCCCGGACUGACACUGUUUUCAGCAUAACUACCAUGGUGUUGUUUUUGUGUAGAAAUAAAAGUUUUCGGAAUGGAACGAAACUUUGCGAGGAUUUUUAUAUAAUAAAAGAGAAUUUCUGGAGCCAAGAUCCACCAGAGAGGGGGCCCUGGGUGGGCACAACCCACCAGGGCGCGCCCCCUCUCCUGGCGCGCCCAGGUGGGUUGUACCCACCUGGUGGCCCCGCAGACCUCAACCCUGACACUAUAAAAUCACAUAUUUCUAGAAAAAAAUCAGGGAGAAAGAAUUAUCGCGAUCCACGAGAUGAAGCCCCCGCCAAGCCAUGUUCUUCUUCGGGAGGGCUGCUACCUCUUGAGCACUGCGUUGGUUUUCCCUUGAAGAGGAAAGGGUGAUGCAGCAAAGUAGCGUAAGUAUUUCCCUCAGUUUCUGAGAACCAAGGUAUCAAUCCAGUAGGAGGCUACGCGCGAGUCCCUCGUACCUACACAAAACAAAUAACUCCUCGCAACCAACGCGAUAAGGGGUUGUCAAUCCCUUCACGGUCACUUACGAGAGUGAGAUCUGAUAGAUAUGAUAGGAUAAUAUUUUUGGUAUUUUUGUGAUAGAGAUGCAAAGUAAAAUAAAAGCAAAGUAAAAAAGCAAAGGAAAUAAAUAAGUGUUGGAAGAUUAAUAUGAUGAAGAUAGACCCGGGGGCCAUAGAUUUCACUAGUGGCUUCUCUCAAGAGCAUAAGUAUUUUACAGUGGGUGAACGAAUUACUGUUGAGCAAUUGACAGAAUUGAGCAUAGUUAUGAGAAUAUCUAGGUAUGAUCAUGUAUAUAGGCAUCACGUCCGAGACAAGUAGACCGACUCCUGCCUGCAUCUACUACUAUUACUCCACUCAUCGACCGCUAUCCAGCAUGCAUCUAGAGUAUUAAGUUCAUGAAAACAGAGUAACGCCUUAAGCAAGAUGACAUGAUGUAGAGGGAUAAAUUCAUGCAACAUGAUAAAAAAAAACCAUCUUGUUAUCCUCGAUGGCAAUAAUACAAUACGUGCCUUGCUGCCCCUGUUGUCACUGGGAAAGGACACCGCAAGAUUGAACCCAAAGCUAAGCACUUCUCCCAUUGCAAGAAAGAUCAAUCUCGUAGGCCAAACCAAACUGAUAAUUCGAAGAGACUUGAGAAGAUAACCAAUCAUACAUAAAAGAAUUUAGAGAAGAUUCAAAUAUUGUUCAUAGAUAAUCUUGAUCAUAAACCCACAAUUCAUCGGUCUCAACAAACAGACCGCAAAAACAAGAUUACAUCGAAUAGAUCUCCACGAGAGAGGGGGAGAACAUUGUAUUGAGAUCCAAAAAGAGAGAAGAAGCCAUCUAGCUACUAACUAUGGACCCGAAGGUCUGAGGUAAACUACUCACACUUCAUCGAAGAGGCUAUGGUGAUGAUGUAGAAGCCCUCUGUGAUGGAUGCCCCCUCCGGCGGAGCUCCGGAACAGGCCCCAAGAUGGGAUCUCAUGGGUACAGAAGGUUGCGGCAGUGGAAUUAGGUUUUUGGCUCCAUAUUUGAUCGUUUGGGGGUACGUAGGUAUAUAUAGGAGGAAGGAGUACGUCGAUGGAGCAACAGGGGGCCCACGAGGGUGGAGGGCACGCCCUGGGGGGUGGGCGCGCCCCCCUACCUUGUGGCCUCCUCUGUUUCUUGACGUAGGGUCCAAGUCUCCUGGAUCAUAAUCUUCCUAAAAAUCAUGUUCCCGAAGGUUUCAUUCCGUUUGGACUCUGUUUGAUAUUCCUUUUCUGCGAAACUCUGAAAUAGGCAAAAAACUGCAAUUCUGGGCUGGGCCUCCGGUUAAUAGGUUAGUCCCAAAAAUAAUAUAAAAGUGAAUAAUAAAGCCCAAUAAUGUCCAAAACAGUAGAUAAUAUAGCAUGGAGCAAUCAAAAAUUAUAGAUACGUUGGAGACGUAUCAGGCAUCCCCAAGCUUAAUUCCUACUCGUCCUCGAGUAGGUAAAUGAUAAAAACAGAAUUUUUGAUGCGGAGUGCUACUUGGCAUAAUUUCAAUGUAAUUCUUCUUAAUUGUGGUAUGAAUAUUCAGAUCCGAAAGAUUCAAGACAAAAGUUUAGUAUUGACAUAAAAAUAAUAAUACUUCAAGCAUACUAACAAAGCAAUCAUGUCUUCUCAAAAUAACAUGGCCAAAGAAAGUUAUCCCUACAAAAUCAUAUAGUCUGGCUAUGCUCUAUCUUCACCACACAAAGUAUUUAAAUCAUGCACAACCCCGAUGACAAGCCAAGCAAUUGUUUCAUACUUUUGACAUUCUCAAACUUUUUCAAUCUUCACGCAAUACAUGAGCGUGAGCCAUGGAUAUAGCACUAUAUGUGGAAUAGAACGGUGGUUGUGGAGAAGACAAAAAGGGAGAAGAUAGUCUCACAUCAACUAGGCGAAUCAACGGGCUAUGGAGAUGCCCAUCAAUAGAUAUCAAUGUGAGUGAGUAGGGAUUGCCAUGCAACGGAUGCACUAGAGCUAUAAGUAUAUGAAAGCUCAACAAAAGAAACUAAGUGGGUGUGCAUCCAACUCGCUUGCUCACGAAGACCUAGGGCAUUUUGAGGAAGCCCAUCAUUGGAAUAUACAAGCCAAGUUCUAUAAUGAAAAAUUCCUACUAGUAUAUGAAAGUGACAAAAUGAGAGACUCUCUAUCAUGAAGAUCAUGGUGCUACUUUGAAGCACAAGUGUGGUAAAAGGAUAGUAACAUUGUCCCUUCUCUCUUUUUCUCUCAUUUUUUUAUUUGGGCCUUUUCUCUCUUUUUUUAUGGCCUCUUUUCUUUUCUUUUUUUUCGUCUAGAGUCUCAUCCCGACUUGUGGGGGAAUCAUAGUCUCCAUCAUCCUUUUCCUCACUUGGGACAAUGCUCUAAAAAUGAUGAUCAUCACACUUUUAUUUUCUUACAACUCAACAAUUACAACUCGAUACUUAGAACAAAAUUUGACUCUAUAUGAAUGCCUCCGGCGGUGUACCGGGAUAUGCAAUGAAUCAAGAGUGACAUGUAUGAAAGAAUUAUGAACGGUGGCUUUGCCACAAAUACAAUGUCAACUACAUAAUCAUGCUAAGCAAUAUGACAAUGAUGGAGCAUGUUAUAAUAAACGGAACGGUGGAAAGUUGCAUGGCAAUAUAUCUUGGAAUGGCUAUGGAAAUGCCAUGAUAGGUAGGUAUGGUGGCUGUUUUGAGGAAGGUAUAUAGUGGGUGUAUGAUACCGGCGAAAAGUGCGCGGUAUUAGAGAGCCUAGCAAUGGUGGAAGGAAGAAAGUGUGUAUAAUCCAUGGACUCAACAUUAGUCAUAAAGAACUCAUAUACUUAUUGCAAAAAUCUACAAGUUAUCAAAGCAAAGUAUUACGCGCAUGCUCCUAGGGGGAUAGAUUGGUAGGAAAAGACCAUCGCUCGUCCCCGACCGCCACUCAUAAGGAAGACAAUCAAUAAAUAAAUCGUGCUCCGACUUCAUCACAUAACGGUUCACCAUACGUGCAUGCUACGGGAAUCACAAACUUUAACACAAGUAUCUCUCAAAUUCACAACUACUCAACUAGCAUGACUCUAAUAUCACCAUCUUUAUAUUUCAAAACAAUUAUCAAGCAUCAAACUUCUCAUAGUAUUCAACACACUCAUAAGAAAGUUUUACAAAUCUUGAAUACCAAGCAUAUUAGGAUUAUUUAAGCAAAUUACCAUGCUAUUUAAGACUCUCAAAAUAAUCUAAGUGGGGCAUGAGAGAUCAAUAGUUUCUAUAAAACAAAUCCACCACCGUGCUCUAAAAGAUAUAAGUGAAGUACUAGAGCAAAACUAUAUAACUCAAAAGAUAUAAGUGAAGCACAUAGAGUAUUCUAACAAAUUCCAAAUCAUGUAUGGCUCUCUCAAAAGGUGUGUACAGCAAGGAUGAUUGUGGUAAACUAAAAAUCAAAGACUCAAAUCAUAGAAGACGCUCCAAGCAAAACACAUAUCAUGUGGUGAAUAGAAAUAUAGCUCCAAGUAAAGUUACCGAUGGAAGUAGACGAAAGAGGGGAUGCCUUCCGGGGCAUCCCCAAGCUUUGGCUUUAUGGUGUCCUUAGAUUAUCUUGGGGGUGCUAUGGGCAUACCCAAGCUUAGGCUCUUUCCACUCCUUGUUCCAUAAUCCAUCAAAAUCUUUCACCCAAAACUUGAAAACUUCACAACACAAAACUCAACAGAAAUCUCGUGAGCUCCGUUAGCGAAAGAAAACAAAAGACCACUUCAAGGUACUGUAAUUAACUCAUUCUUUCUUUAUAUUGGUGUUAAACCUACUGUAUUCCAACUUCACUAUGGUUUAUAAACUAUUUUACUAGCCAUAGAUUCAUCAAAAUAAGCAAACAACACACGAAAAACAGAAUCUGUCAAAAACAGAACAGUCUGUAGUAAUAUGUAACUAACGCAAACUUCUGGAACUCCAAAAAAUCAGACAAAAUAGGAAGACCUAGAAAAUUUGUUUAUUGAUCAGCAGAAAUUGGAAUCACUAUUUUAUCACGUUAUGGGGAUUUUUAACAAUUUUUUUCGUGAACAGAAAGUUUCUGGAAAUUACAGCAAGAUCAAAUAACUAUCAUCCAAGAAGAUCCUAUAGGUUUAACUUGGCACAAACACUAAUUAAAACAUAAAAACACAUCUAACCAGAGGCUAUAUCAAAAAUUUAUUCCUAAACAGAAUCAAAAGCAAAAAAAUAAAAAUAAAAUUGGGUUGCCUCCCAACAAGCGCUAUCGUUUAACGCCCCUAUCUAGGCAUAAAAGCAAGGAUAGAUCUAGGUAUUGCCAUCUUUGGUAGGGAAUCCAUAAGUGGCUCUCAUGAUAGAUUCAUAUGAUAAUUUUAUUUUCUUCCUAGGGAAGUGUUCCAUGCCUUUCUUUAAUGCAAAUUGAAAUCUAAUAUUCCCUUCCUUCAUAUCAAUAAUUGCACCAAUCGUUCUAAGGAAAGGUCUACCAAGAAUAAUAGGACAUGAAGGAUUGCAAUCUAUAUCAAGAACGAUAAAAUCUACGGGCACAUAAUUCCUAUUUGCAACAAUAAUAACAUCAUUAAUUCUUCCCAUAGGUUUCUUAAUAGUGGAAUCCGCAAUGUGCAAGUUUAGAGAGCAAUCAUCAAAAUCACGGAAAUCUAGCAAAUCGCACAAAGUUUUGGGAAUAGUGGAAACACUAGCACCCAAAUCACAUAAAGCAUAGAACUCAUGAUCCUUAAUCUUAAUUUUAAUAGUUGGUUCCCACUCAUCAUAAAGUUUUCUAGGGAUAGAAACUUCCAACUCAAGCUUUUCUUCAUAAGAUUGCAUCAAGGCAUCAACGAUAUGUUGGGUAAAAGCUUUAUUUUGACUAUAAGCAUGAGGAGAAUUUAGCACGGAUUGCAACAAGGAAAUACAAUCUAUCAAAGAGCAAUUUUCAUAAUUAAAUUCCUUAAAAUCCAAAAUAGUGGGUUUAGCAACAUCUAGGGUUUUGAUUUCUUCAAUCCCACUUUUAUCAAUUUUAGCAUCAAGAUCUAAAAACUCUGAAUUUUUGGAACGCCUUCUAGGUAAAGGUGGAUCAUAUUCAGUCCCAUCAUUAUCAAGAUUCAUAUUGCAAAACAAAGAUUUAAUAGGGGACACAUCAAUAACUUUUAGAUCUUCGUCUUUAUUUUCAUAGAAAUUUGAAGAACACGCUUUCAUAAAGCAAUCUUUCUUAGCACGCAUCCUAGCGGUUCUUUCUUUGCACUCAUCAAUGGAAAUUCUCAUGGCUUUGAGAGACUCAUUAAUAUCAUGCUUAGGAGGAAUAGAUCUAAGUUUUAAAGAAUCAACAUCAAGAGAAAUUCUAUCAACGUUCCUAGCCAAUUCAUCAACUUUAAGCAAUUUCUCUUCAAGCAAAGCAUUGAAAUUCUUUUGUGAAUUCAUAAACUCUUUAACACUAGUCUCAAAUUCAGAGGGCAUCUUAUUAAAAUUUCCAUAAGAGUUGUUGUAGGAAUUACCAUAAUUAUUAGAGGAAUUACUAGGAUAAGGCCUAGGAUUAAAGUUUCCCCUAUACGCGUUGUUACCAAAAUUAUUCCUACCAACAAAAUUCACAUCCAUAGAUUCAUUAUUAUUCUCAAUCAAAGUAGACAAAGGCAUAUCAUUAGGAUCAGAAGAAACACUCUUACUAGCAAAUAAUUUCAUAAGUUCAUCCAUCUUUCCACUCAAAACAUUAAUUUCUUCUAUCGCAUGCACUUUUUUAUUAGUAGAUCUUUCAGUGUGCCAUUGAGAAUAAUUAACCAUAAUAUUAUCUAGGAGUUUAGUAGCUUCUCCUAAAGUGAUUUCCAUAAAAGUGCCUCCCGCGGCCAAAUCUAAAAGAUUUCUAGAAGCAAAAUUCAAUCCGGCAUAAAAUUUUUGUAUAAUCAUCCAUAAAUUCAAACCAUGAGUAGGGCAAUUAUGUAUCAUUAAUUUCAUCCUCUCCCAAGCUUGUGCAACAUGUUCAUGAUCAAGUUGCUUAAAAUUCAUAAUAUCGUUUCUAAGAGAGAUGAUCUUAGCGGGAGGAAAAUACUUAGAGAUAAAAGCAUCUUUGCACUUAUUCCAAGAAUCAAUACUAUUUUAGGCAAAGACGAAAACCAAGCUUUAGCACGAUCUCUAAGAGAAAAAUGAAAUAGCUUUAAUUUAACAAUAUUGUUGUCAACAUCUUUCUUCUUUUGCAUAUCACGCAAAUCAAUGAAGCUAUUUAGAUGAGUAGCGGCAUCUUCACUAGGAAGGCCGGCGAAUUGAUCUUUCAUGACAAGAUUCAACAAAGCAGCAUUGAUUUCAAAAGAUUCAGUAUUGGUAAGAGGAGCAAUCGUAGUGCUAAGGAAAUCAUUAUUGUUGGUAUUGGUAAAGUCACAUAAUUUGGUAUUAUCUUGAGCCAUCGUGACAAACAAGCAAUCCAACACAAGAGCAACAAGAAAGCAAGCGAAAAAGAGGCGAACGGAAAAGAGAGGGCGAAUAAAACGGCAAGGGUGAAGUGGGGGAGAGGAAAACGAGAGGCAAAUGGCAAGUAAUGUAAUGCGGGAGAUAAGGGAUUUGUGAUGGGUACUUGGUAUGUUGACUUUUGCGUAGACUCCCCGGCAACGGCGCCAGAAAUCCUUCUUGCUACCUCUUGAGCACUGCGUUGGUUUUCCCUUGAAGAGGAAAGGGUGAUGCAGCAAAGUAGCGUAAGUAUUCCCCUCAGUUUUUGAGAACCAAGGUAUCAAUCCAGUAGGAGGCUACGCGUGAGUCCCUUGUACCUACACAAAACAAAUAACUCCUCGCAACCAACGCGAUAAGGGGUUGUCAAUCCCUUCACAGUCGCUUACGAGAGUGAGAUCUGAUAGAUAUGAUAGGAUAAUAUUUUUGGUAUUUUUGUGAUAGAGAUGCAAAGUAAAAUAAAAGCAAAGUAAAAGGCAAAGGAAAUAAAUAAGUGUUGGAAGAUUAAUAUGAUGAAGAUAGACCCGGGGGGCAUAGAUUUCACUAGUGGCUUCUCUCAAGAGCAUAAGUAUUUUACGGUGGGUGAACGAAUUACUGUUGAGCAAUUAACAGAAUUGAGCAUAGUUAUGAGAAUAUCUAGGUAUGAUCAUGUAUAUAGGCAUCACGUCCGAGACAAGUAGACCGACUCCUGCCUGCAUCUACUACUAUUACUCCACUCAUCGACUGCUAUCCAGCAUGCAUCUAGAGUAUUAAGUUCAUGAAAACAGAGUAACGCCUUAAGCAAGAUGACAUGAUGUAGAGGGAUAAAUUCAUGCAAUAUGAUAAAAAAAACCAUCUUGUUAUCCUCGAUGGCAACAAUACAAUAUGUGCCUUGCUGCCCCUGUUGUCACUGGGAAAGGACACCGCAAGAUUGAACCCAAAGCUAAGCACUUCUCCCAUUGCAAGAAAGAUCAAUCUAGUAGGCCAAACCAAACUGAUAAUUCAAAGAGACUUGCAAAGAUAACCAAUCAUACAUAAAAGAAUUCAGAGAAGGUUCAAAUAUUGUUCAUAGAUAAUCUUGAUCAUAAACCCACAAUUCAUAGGUCCCAACAAACACACCGCAAAAAGAAGAUUACAUCGAAUAGAUCUCCACGAGAGAGGGGAGAACAUUGUAUUGAGAUCCAAAAAGAGAGAAGAAGCCAUCUAGCUACUAACUAUGGACCCGAAGGUCUGAGGUAAACUACUCACACUUCAUCGGAGAGGCUAUGGUGAUGAUGUAGAAGCCCUCCGUGAUGGAUGCCCCCUCCGGCGGAGCUCCGGAACAGGCCCCAAGAUGGGACCUCGUGGGUACAAAAGGUUGCGGCGGUGGAAUUAGGUUUUUGGCUCCGUAUCUGAUCGUUUGGGGGUACGUGUGUAUAUAUAGGAGGAAGGAGUACGUCGGUGGAGCAACAGGGGGCCCACGAGGGUGGAGGGCGCGCCCCCCUACCUCGUGGCCUCCUCCUUUGUUUCUUGACGUAGGGUCCAAGUCUCCUGGAUCAUAAUCUUCCUAAAAAUCACGUUCCCGAAGGUUUCAUUCCGUUUGGACUCCGUUUGAUAUUCCUUUUCUGCGAAACUCUGAAAUAGGCAAAAAAACAACAAUUCUGGGUUGGGCAUCCGGUUAAUAGGUUAGUCCCAAAAAUAAUAUAAAAGUGAACAAUAAAGCCCAAUAAUGUCCAAAACAGUAGAUAAUAUAGCAUGGAGCAAUCAAAAAUUAUAGAUACGUUGGAGACGUAUCAAGGGCAGAUAUGGAGUCCGUUUGGGGCUCCGAAGAGGGGGAUCUUCGUUCUUCGUCAUCACCAACCCUUCUCCAUCGCCAAUUCCAUGAUGCUCCCCACCGGGAGUGAGUAAUUCCUUCGUAGGCUCGCUGGUCGGUGAGGAGUCGGAUGAGAUUCAUCAUGUAAUCGAGUUAGUUUUGUUAGGGCUUGAUCCCUAGUAUCCACUAAGUUCUUAGAUUGAUGUUGCUAUGACUUUGCUAUGCUUAAUGCUUGUCACUUUGGGCCCAGGUGCCAUGAACUCAGAUCUGAACCGUUUAUGAAUUCAUCAUUAUAUCCAUGUUUUAGAUCCGAUCUUGCAAGUUAUAGUCACCUACUACGCGUCAUGAUCCGACAACCACGGAGUGACAACAACCGGGCCCACUCUCGGUGAUGACCGUAGUUUGAGGACUUCAUGUAUUCACUAUGUGUUAAUGCUUUGUUCCGGUUCUCUAUUAAAAUGAGGCCUUAAUAUCCCUUAGUUUCCAAUAUGGACCCCGCUGCCACGGGAGGGUAGGACAAAUGAUGUCAUGCAAGUUCUUUUAAUAAAGCACUUAUGACUAUUUAUGGAAUACAUGCCUACAUUAUAUCGAUGAACUGGAGCUAGUGCCGAAUCGCCCUAGGUUAUAACCGUCACAUGAUGAAUAUCAUCCAACAAGUCACCGAUCCAAUGCCUACGAAUUUAUCUUAUAUUGUUUCUGUUGCGUUACUACUGCUAUCAUCACUGUUACACUUGCUACAAAAUUACUGCUAUCACUGUUACUGUUACUAUUGUUGUUGUCACUACUAUCAAAACUAUCAAACUACUUUUCUACUGAUCACUUUGCUGCAGAUAAUUAAUCUUCAGGUGUGGUUGAAUUGACAACUCAGCUGCUAAUAUCUUCAAAUAUUCUUUGGCUCCCCUUGUGUCGAAUCUAUAAAUUUGGGUUGAAUACUCUACCCAUGAAAACUGUUGCGAUCCCCUAUACUUGUGGGUUAUCAUUAAAGCAUCCCGAAUUCCUUACCAAAGAUAGCAGUUGUCAUCUGUGAGAUAUGGCGCUUUAAGCUGGUCGGUUCUGCAGUGGUCUCUUUCAAAGAAGAUUCGGCAGUCUCUGCUCUUUGUACUAAGGCGGUUUUCUCUUUCUCCCAAGCGUUUCUUUCUGUGGAAAACCCAGCUCUGAGCUUCUCGCUCUCCUCCGAACUAAGCUCAAGCUUGGAGUCAGCUUGGCGUGUUUCAGCUUCUUGUUGCUCAAGCCUGGUCUUUAAAUCGACCACCUAGGACUCGGCCUGAGUUAAAGCAUCCUGCAAGUAAGAGUUAAACAGUUAUAAACAUAUUUGCCAGGUCACAAUCUACAUACAAGUCUCAAGCAUGUUGCAAGCAAAGCACUUGACACUUGGGGGCUAAUGUGUGCGGAAGCUCUUUUUUGCAUUAUAUUGUCCGUGAUCCGGCUCAUCCUUCUCAAGAUAAGCCGGCCCAUGAGGGCUAUGGUUUGGAGCUUUUCUUUCGAAGUAAUGAAAAUAAUCUGGUUCAUCUUUUAUCAAGAUAAGCCGGCUCAUGAGGGCUAUGACUUUAGAGAUUGCAGUAACAUAUGGACAAGUCUUAACCCUACUCAGACAUAUAUUUUCCUACGGAUAAGACUUGGGGGGCUAGAUGACUAUAUAUGCAAAGGAAACAGAUGUUCAUACCUCAUAUUUCUGGCACAAUUACUUUACUAAAUCCGCCUCCAGAUCACGACUAGUAUGCAGCUGGCUCAGAUAACCAGAGUAUAAUUCGCUAACGCCCAAGUGUGAAUAAUUUACAACGUCAAAUCUGGCCUUGCUUUUUUCAAUUAACUCUUCUUUGACAGAAUGCUUGGCCAGAAUGGUGGGGUUCCCGGGUUCAGCAUAACCAGUUCUAGUAAUGAUGACAUCCUCAGCAGUUUGUUGCGAAGGAGGCUCUUCAGCAGGUUUUAUGGGACUGGGCGGCUUAGUGCUGGAUGGGUCAACACCCAUUGGAUCAACUAUGACGUCGUGAGUCUCUGGUGGUGGGUCAUCAGCAGCAGCCUCCGGAGUAUGAUGAGAAGCUUCAGAUAUGAUUUGUUUCUCCGGCUCAGUAACCUUGGGGUCUUCGGCCGGCUUGUUUAUCUUCAAUUUCUUGCUGGGUUUGGCUAUACCGCUGAAAGUAAGACAUAUGAAGAUUUAAUAUAUCAGUUUGUAAAGUGUUCAAAAACAAAGAGGUUAAGUGUUCUCACCCAGGAGCGACUUUGAACAGAGGAAUCUGAGUCCCAGUAGAGUUGCCGGAGGAGGAGUGAGAGGUUCCAUGAUAAUUUGAGUUGGAAGGAUUAAGCGGUUGACGAAAAAGACCCGCCUUUGGAAAAGAGAAGUUUGAGUCCUGAGAAACCUCUGCUCGGCGUUUGCGAGGGGCCGGCGUGUUGGGUAAGCCGGCAUGAAGGUCUCCCCCUCCGCUAUUCCGGGUUGUACGCCGAGCUUCAUGCUGUUGUUUCUUUAAAAUAAAGUUUGGAUCCAAGUAAGCUAAAGGGUGAGAAAACCUUACUUUCCGGGUCACGUGCCAAAAUUUCUGUCUUGGCAAAGGCUCUAAUCGAAUCGGAGGAAAUAAUAGUUACCUCUACAGCAUCUGCCUGGCUGGUCUCCGCGUCAUCCUGAGAGGGUUCGGCGUCAAUAAGAUGCACAAAAAAGGAGCCAAGGGAAUCAAGUUCUACCUCCGACUCAUCAUCCAGAGUAAAUUGGAAUUAGUCUGUUGCAUCUGUUUUCUUCUUGGCGGGUCUCUUGGGAGCCUUGGUCUUUCCCCUGGCCUUUUAGCCGGUUUAUCUUGAAGCUUCUUAUUCCAAAAAGGAGAGUCGGCCUGAAGAGAGCAGGAUAAUAAGGCCAGUGCAACAUAUGAGAAUAAUGAAUAAAGUAAAAGGGGCUUCAUAUACUUACAGCUGGAGCCGGGUUAAGAACAUAGAAGGGGCUCAGCCCCGUUUUGCUGUAGAUUUCUAGAGUUUCUCCAAGUAAAGACUUGGUCAUUUCGUUGAGGUCCUUCUCUUCAAGGAAUGUUGAGUUAUACCGCAAGGGGUCAUUCACAUCGCCUGUGUAUGUGCACAUUAAGCCGGGGCAGCGGCUUAAAGGCAUGAUUCUCCAGCUAACCCAGCAUCGGACCAGGUCAAUACCGGUCAAGCCAUUUGCCAUCAAGGCCCUUAUCUUAGUAAAAGUGGGUCCAUAAUUGGCUCGUUCAGCAGAGCUGAUCCGGUCUGGAAGUGGGUGCUUGGGGUUGAGCCGGUGAAUACGGAAACCCGGCAGAGGAUUUUCACCCGCCGGAGAGGUGUCUUGGCAAUAAAACCAAGUCUGGUUCCAGUCUUUGGGGUGACUGGGAAGUGCAGCUGAAGGAAAGACGGCGUCUCUUCACCUCCGGAUAGAAAUUCCACCAAGUUCAAGGUUGGGCCCGUCUGUCAUCUCUGUUUGGCGGUUCAAAUAGUAAUACUCUCUAAAGAGGUCAACGUUGGGCUCCUCUUGAAGGUAUACUUCACAAAAGACUUGAAAAUUGCAAAUAUUGGAAACUGAGUUGGGUCCGAUGUCUUGAGGGUGAAGUUGAUAGAAAUUCAGGACGUCAUGGAAUAAUUUUGAGCCGGGCGGUGAGAAGCCUCAGAGCAUAUGAUCAGAGAAAACUAUAACUUCUCCUUCUUUUGGUUGAGGUGGAACCUCAGCCCCUGGAACCCGCCAAUGGAUGACAUCCUUAGAUGGUAAAACGCCCAUGGCAACAAACUCUUGGAGAGUCCGUUCUAUGACAUUGGAAAACGACCCAGUCGCACAAGGUGACGGUCUUAGUCAUUUUGAUCAGGUGAAAACCUAGAAAGGAAAUCAUGGCGGGUCAAAUUUGUGAUGAUGAGCCGCCCGAUGGUUGAACAAAGUAAAGUUAUUAUGCAAAAUUGGUUAUAUGCAAGGAUUGGUAAGCUGCUUAAUGGUUGCAGAAAAGAAAAUAUCAUGGUUAAACCGGCGAGGUAUGAGCUGGAUAAUGUCAAGCCUGGAUAAGUACUGGCGGUUUAAACAACUUAUAAGGUAAGCCGGCUGGUAUUUGGCGGGUUACAAAGUAUUAUUUGAGCCGCUCAUACAACAGUGGUCGAGCCGAUGGUUACAAGAUCUAGGGAUUGGAUAGAAUUUCACUAAGUGCUAGACAAACAAGUUUCACAGAUUCUGCCUAUAAUUUCAAAUCUACGGCCGUUACAGAAACAGGAGAAAAUUACUAGCCCUAAAAACAAUGGACGAACCACGGGUGUGGGGAGUGAAUUUCAACAGCAGCAAGUGGAUCCAUAUUUGAUAGCAGAUAUUAAAGGGGGGUAAGGUGUGACUUUAGCAUCGCAUUUUGGUCCUACUAAGGUGGCAUGGUCGAUGAACUAUAGACAAGGGUGAUGAACACCGAUGAACUCCGAAGAACUACAGAAACCCUAAUGCAGAUGUGAGGAAAAAGGAGAUGGGUACCUGGAGAUGCUGAUGAACAGCGGAGGGGCGCCGCCGUUUUCUGGUCGAGGUCAGGUUGAUGCAGCGGCCAAGGUUGAUGCAGUCUACGGGGGCGGCGGAGCUCCGGAGGCGUCGGUCGUUGCGAGGAAGAAGAAGAGGCAGAGGCAGGGGUAAAAAGUGAAGAAGAGGACCCCCUGUCCCUAUUUAUAAGGAGGUGAAAAGAUGGCCUGCACGGAAAUUGAGGAGGCAAAAUGAUUAUGUUAAACGACGUGGGUGCCUCGAUUCUCAGGAGGUCCAUUAAGAUAAAGAUCCAUUGAGAUAUCAUGGGCUUUGUGCGGAAUCAAUGCACAUGACGUCAUGGCGGGUUACAAUAUUUCUGCUUAUGUGAUGUCAUGGCGGGUUAUAUCGGUCUGAUGAAGAUUCGACACUGAUACAUUAUGCUAAGUUAAAUAGUGGAGAUUGAUAUGAACAACUUCAAAUCAACCUGGGGCCUGAUGUUGGGGAUAUAGCUCCUAGGUGUGACCCGCCCAGGAGGGGCCGGGUUACACCAUUGGCGACUCAACAUGAAGAAGGUCCAAGGAGGCCCAAGGAGAAGUACGAAGAUGGCGGCUCUUGGAGGCAGGCCUAGUAAAAGCCCAAGACCUGGGCCUGUGAACUGUCGUAUGAAGACUUGUUCUGUAAGGCAGGAUUAGUUAGAAACCAAGCCGGACACGCUGUGUGAGCCGGCUGGGACUCUAUAAGCCUCCGGGUCUCUACCUGUGUAUAUAAAGGUGAGACCCGGCGGCAGGUUAACUCGAGAAACAAGCAAUCGAGAACUAGGUCAAGCGUAUUCGCUCCCUUGUAAUCGAAACUCAAGCAAUACAAUUAGAAGCAGGACAUAGGCCUUUACCUCAUUGUGAGGGGCCGAACCUGGGUAAACUCUCUGUGUCCUUUGUCCCGUUCAACCCCUUCAAGCUAACCUAGUUGCGAUGGCUCCACACCUAAGUCCUUUCACUAGGGCAUCUGCCGUGACAAAUCCACGACAGAGAGCAACCUAUAUUGAGGAUCCAUAGAAUGUAGCAAUAUGAUAUGAUAUGACAAUAAGCAUCAAACAUGAGAAGCAUGCAUUCAAAAGAUACAAAGUACAUAUCAUAAAUAAGCGAUAAGAGACAUAUCUAGUAAGAUCAUCACCUACAGCAUGGGCACAAAAUGCAUCCAAAAGUCAUGAGUGUGCAAAGAUAUAUGCAAUACAAACAAACACUCAAUUCUCAACAUCUUACGAAUCCACCAAACAGUCAAAGAAAAUAGUAACCAACAAGGAAGUAAGGAUGCCAAAGAGGGAUAUGCACUUUAUCAUGUGUAUAUGUCUCUUAUGUGAUCGAUAAUCAUCAAGAUGUGCAUUCACAAAGAGAACUGCACAUGCAAAAUAGUCACAAAAAUAUAAGAACAUGAUAUCCAUGAGUGAAUCCAUUACUAUACAAUUUUAAUCUUAGCAUGAACGCUUUGGCACAUAGCACAUGGGACAAGAUACAUGGCACAAAUUGAUAUAAUUUGUAUAACAAUUGAAUUACAGUGUAAGAGAGCACUAACCACGAGCAAAUAAAGUGCUUUUGCAAUUUCAUUUGCAUGCUAGACAACUUCAAGGAAUGGAUAUGUGAUGGAUUGCUUGAUUGGCAUAUUUGGUAUAAAUUAAUCAUGAACAUGAUUUUAUAGAUCCCCAUGAUAGGCUUCUUCACAAAUGUUUCAAAUAUGCAACUAGGAGGUUUAUGCUCUUGCAAGAAACAUAACUUCCAUAAAUACAAUCCAUAGCAUGAUGCAAUCUUUACAAGGUUGACUCCAUUUAUAUAUAUAUAUGCAUUAAGUAAAUAAAUGUUACCAAGAUAGCAUCGGUAUGAAGUAUUAUAUCUAUGAAUCAUCUAAACUUGGUUCUAAUUUUCUCAAGGUGUCACCACCUUCUACAUGAAUAAGCUAAGCUUACAAUGCGUCUCCAAUGAGCCUAAAACACAUUUAACUAUAACCUGGUCCCCAAACAUAUUGGGUCCGGAGUAGUUAGUGCAACUACCAUACAUAGGGUAAGCUCUUAAAUCUGUGCAUUUGGAUGUGAACUUGAAUUUCAUGCACAUCUUAGCCAUUAGAAUGAGUUAAUGUUAUUAAAGCUCGCAAUAAGAUCUUGGAUCUGAAAAUAAAAUGUAGUACGAGCAAACAAAUCUGGUCAAUACAAACUUUCCAUCUACAGAACACCAUCUGUAGUGAGUACACCUCCUAACCUUAGUUGGCAGCCAAUCAUCUCAUCAAACUAAUUCUAUAGAAAAUAAAACAUAGCACAAUGACAAUCAUAUUUUAAAGGGAGAAGCAAGGACCAAAACAAAAAAACUGCCUGAGCAGAUAGCAGACUAAAAAAUGGGCAUAUUCAGAACUGAAGCAAAGCACAUUUUAAACUUACUAGUAAAAGUGCCCCUGCAUUGCACCGGGUUGGAUUGUCGAUUUUUGGAUCAUGGAUUUUGUAUUUGGAAAGUCCCGCCCUCAUGUCCUCCGUCGACAUCUACUUCAGCUCCGCACCGCCAUCGAAGUGCAAGUAGAGAUGCAGACAUAGAAACUUUCAUACAGAUGGAGUGAAACUCCACACAGAUUGGUCAUAUAUAUACUCACCGCAAAACCAUCAUUAGAACCUUACUUAUUUAAUCUUUGCAAACAACACAAAGCAAUUGUGUAUACCGACCAAUGGGACACCAUUAUGAUAAUGAAGACUGCCCAGCCUGUCUGAAAGAACAAUUUAUAUGCACACCAAGUUAAGAACAACAUCGACAGGGCUCCGUUAGCAGCAUGAAACGGUCGAACAUGUGAAAAAAGAUUUACAAUAUCUUCCUAAUUUAUCCAAGAACUUUGCAAACUAACCAUAUUAGUCUAUCAAAAAUAGCACAACGUUUGAAAAUCCCCUGGGUCCAAGCACAAAUGACAUAUAAUACAGUUACUCAUUUCUUAAAGCUAAUACAAUUAAAUCUUGAGCAUGAACGUGCAUCUUUGAAAUGCAUCAGUUUACAAACUGACCAAGUAAAGCCAAUCAAAAAAAAAUGUAUGCAUCUUUCAAAUCAGAACUGGAGUUUAGUAGACACCAAAACUUAUAAAUUAUCGCGUGCUUCUUCAUGUUGCGAGACAUAGAAUAUUUUUCUGUUAGUCCUAACUUCUCAAGAAACAUAUGGACUGAGUUAUCCCGUGAAAGCAGAUACUUAAAAGCAUGAAGCAUGUGAACACCUAUAUGCAGCAAAGUGUGUCCCAAAGCCAGGACAAAGCAUUAGUUUUGGUCACUAUGUGUAAUGCAAAAUAAGCAAUUCAAUCGAAGUGGUCACGUUAAAAAAAAUCUAGAUUCAAAGAGGCGAACAAUCAUCCAAAGAAAAUGUGGAGUCAAACUCUGCAGCGAUGGCUCUUACAGUGUGCUCCCUUGAUUUGUGUAUGCCUUCACUUACCUAAAGUAUUCAUUGUUUCUCCAUUAAUCAAUCAUGUAAUUACCAACAUAUCAAUACAAAGAGAUCAGAUCAGAGAUGUACCUGAGUUUGGAUGUCAACUAUUAAGUUUCUACUAAUAUGCAUCUCCUACUUUUAAGAUAUGAAACGCAACUGUAUUUGCCAUGUUUUUAGCAAUUUCAGAUCUUUCUUCCCUUCUACUCCAAUGGAUUGAUGACAUCAUCUGAACCAUUUAAAAAUGAAACAAACUUACUGAAAAUCUGUAGCCUUAUUGCUGUAUAAAAGAACAUUGUAAUUCAAGUCUUGUAUAGCUCUAAGUUCUGAUUACCAUAGAUAAUCAUACAGUCUAUUGUCAUAAAUCCAAGAAAUAUUCAGAACCUACACAUCUUAAUUCUGAGAGGCGGAAAGGGGUAGAUAUACUAUGAAGCUAAUCUGAGGCUUAUAGCGUGUGUAAUAAAGAAAUAACACACAACAUCCAAAUCCUCUCCAUGAGUAACAUCAACUAAUGUCAUUGGCUAACACUCGGUCAACAAAUAUUAGCUCAGGUAAAAUGGAAAAAAAUUGCUAAGGCCUCACGUAAUCAUCAGUGUGAGCUGUCCUCAAAGUGACCUUAUUGUUUGGUUUUUUACUCUCCGAUGGAAGGAACGCAUCCCAAAUGAAAUAAUUUUGUGGUGUGCCGCUUCAGGAGAUGCAAAUCAGACCUCCUUCCCUAGUUCCCUUCAUUUGGCUCAUAAUCCAGUGAAGAGUAUUGUUGCCAAUAUAGACCUAAAAACUGUUUUUAUUUUAGAGGAGGAAAUUUAGGAUAAGCAUUACCUGCCUCCAUAGUGGACGCAGGAGUGUAGUUCAUCCACUCCGCAACCUCUCCGACGAAGACCCCUGCCUAAUCUGCUUCAAAUUUCCGCCCGUACACAAUCUGUCAACCAUAUUUAUAUUGACAAUUGAUUCACAAAUUAUUCUUAAAAAUACGUGGCAUUAGUUCAAACCGAGGGGAUUCAAGAAAAGCACCGAUCCAUUCUUGUUAUUUUUUAGUGGAACACCCUUUUCAUUAACUUAGCACUUUUAAGAGCUGCAGUACUUGUAGAGUGAGUGGAUCCCAUAAUACUGGACACUGGACUAUUUAAAUCCGUAGCACGAAAAGUUCUAGCGCGGCAUAAAAAAAUCCUCUCCCCUGACUGGAAAAGUGUCUGUCGUCAAUGACGUGUUGUUCAUAAAUCAUCGAGUUGUUUCCAUUUUGUUUCUUUUAUGUUCAGCUUCUUGCAGAGUCGUGCUGCCUCAUUGACAUCUGAUUCAUGCGGUGCUUGUUUUUUAGACCUGCGGAUCUUAACUAAAUGAUUGCAAGAACAUUACUGAAUCUCAAGCAUGAAUGAGCCGGUCCCUUACGCUUCAUAUAUCUCCAACCAAGUACACAUAACUGAAGCCUGCCGACUCUAUGACCAUGAUACUGAUGCUCCAUACACAAAUUUCACUCACAACCCCGUGAUCAAUCAUGAAGAGACCAUAGAAUAAUUCCACUUAAGUAUAGUCACAAGUCUGGACCAUGGAGUGUGUGUUCUCCACGGAUAGCCCAAGGACUGAAUUAAACAGACAAAACAGAAGCAUUCUUAUCAUUCAGUCAAUCAAUAGUAUUUUUGUCAAUUUUUUAACAGAUGUGGCGGUCAUACCCCGAGGUGUCGAUGACAUAUUGACAUUGUUCGCCUCCUUGAUCGGCCACGAGGGGAGAUAACCAAGGCCGGCCUCUGUCGAUUGCAGCCUGGAGGGGAAGCCCGGGACUCGGCGUCUGCAUCCAUGGUGGUGCACAACUUGUGUGGCGGUGUAUGACACGCUUGGCCCAGAGCUACGUCCACCCCGCCGGCGAGCGCAGGGGCGCUCCCCGCCAAGGAUCCAGCUACCCGACCAAUGAGUCAAGCUUGCACGGAGAGGGAGGCGGGGAACGGGUUAUGCGUGGUGGAUCGCGACGGGCUCGCUUUUGAGGAACUGUCCACGCGCCCGUGGUGGAUUGUUUCAGCGAGUGACCUCUGAGGGAGAGCACGGCGACGAAUCAGCACGAGCGAGGAUCUUGGGGCGUGGUGGCUCGACGGUGGCCAACCGAGCGGCACGGGAGGAAGAAGGAGAAGAUUAGGGACAAAUGAGGAGGGGAAGGAGGACAGGGAGGCGGAUGACCGGAGAAGAAGACCGGUCUCCGGCUAUGGAUGGCCGGAGAAGAAGACCGGCCGCCGGCGGUGGCGCCAUGCCCGUGCGAAUCGAGCAGAGCACAGAUCAAAGGGAAGGAGACCCAUGUGUUUACCAAUUAGCCACUCUAGAAAUGACUGCGGGUCGAAUAACCAAAGUAGAGGGUCUUUUGGUGAAAAUAGAAGUUUUCUCAUAUAAUCCACUUAAAAAGGGAUUGUGGGUUUAGUUACCAAAAAGUACAAGGAAACUUUUGCAAAAAUGUCGCGCCGGUGAGCGGGCAGAAGGGAUCGGUGCUUUAUUAUCAGGUAAAGAUAUAGACUACUAUAUGGUUUGAUGUUUAAAAUUAUUAGAAUGAGUUAAUGGUAUUAAAAACUCACACAUAAAUAUUUUCCCUGAAAAUAAAUAGUAAAAUGUUAACAUAUCAGGUCAAAUAAAAACUUUUCGCAUAUACAACAAUAUGUAGCCGAUAUAUCUCACGACAUCUACAAGGGGGGCCCUCUAUUAACGGAUUAAUCACGGAGGUUUAAUUCAAGAAAAUCAUCCAAGGCAGAAUUACAGGGUUAUAUUACCAAAUAAUAUAUAAGAGGUAAAAAUUAAAGGGAUGAGAUCAAAUUAAAGAAAGGCAAAUUUCAAACAAACACUGGAUAAUUCAUUGAUUAGCAAAUCCAACUCAUUCUACAUUUUUGCAUAGGGAAACAUAACCCCAUAUUUUUGUUGACAAAUGAAGAAACCAAGCCAGACUAAGAAAGUCUUGAUGGCGAUCUAAUACACGGUGAAUCUGGUAACGGCCUUGGUUCCCUCGGAGACGGCGUGCUUGGCAAGCUCGCCUGGAAAGACAAGGCGCACAGCAGUCUGGAUCUCCCGGGAGGUGAUGGUGGGCUUCUUGUUGUAGCGUGCGAGCUUUGCCGACUCGCCGGCGAGCUUCUCGAAGAUGUCGUUGAUGAUGGACAUUGAUUUGGAGGAGAUACCCAUGUUCGGGUCAAUCUGCUUGAGCACCUUGAAGAUGUAGAUCUUGUACGUCUCGUUGCUCUUCUUGGCCUUCUUCUUCUUAGUGUCGCCCUCCUUCCCGGGCACGCGCUUCUCCGCCUUGGGCUUCUUCUCUGCGGCUGGCUUCUUCUCGGCCUUGGGCGCCAUGGUGGUUUCUAGGAGGAGAGGCGAGAGAUUGGAUUGGCGGCGCAAAGGUGGGAGAUUUGCGUUUAGGGUUUGAGGUGUGGGUUUGAGGGGACGGGCGGCUGGGAAUAUAUAGGCGUGCGCGAAGGGCAUGAUUGGCGGAGAGGGCUGGGGUUCGGAUCGUUGAGGUGGCAGGGUGUGGGGUGUUGGAUUUGAUGGACCGCCGGAUUUGGGCGCGCGGAUGGGGUGGAUCUGUGUGGGUAGGUGUAACCUUGUGUUUUUGUGGUGAGUUUACACGGUAACCGAAAAUUUGGGAUGUGGAAUUCGAGUGGGAAGGUCUAUUUUGGGUGCUUUGUGAUGGAUUGGAGUGCGAAGGGGGGGUCGCGGGGACUGUGUGGUGAUUUGGAUUUGCUGGGGAUUUUUAAGUGGAAUCGGGAUUGGGUAAAGGGUGUGCAUUCAGUAUUUUUCCGUUUGAUUCGAUUCGGUUUAUUCGGUUUUUGGUUUUUAUGGUUUUAUACAUAGACACGGCUCGGUUCCUAUAAUAACCAUUUAAUUUUGCCUUGGUUUCGAUAAUCUUCUAUAUCUAAAUAGGGGCUCCCCACUAGCUGAUUUGCAUGCCUUCUCAUGAAGCCACAUCAUCCAAAUUGUUCUAGUCGUUGAUGCAGCAUAGAUCGGUGGUCUACAGCCGUUUGAUUAAGUGUUUGCCAAAUUUACUAAGAGUUGUCACCGCUAAGUGAACAUACCGUUUCGUACUUCGCCAUAGCGCUCGCUGCUGGCCUCCAAUUCCAUUUCUUGGGAUGGGCGUACAUGAUUUGGACACUAAAAGGCCCAUUCGAAGCCCACAGGCAUAUAUCGUUCAGGAUGCUACGAGCCUUACGACCCGCCCCCUUCCGUCAAGGAUUGCUAAAAAACCUUCAUCAAGCCACCGCCGCACACAUCCCUUCCAGUGACCGCCGCGCGUUGCCUUUCCGCUGCUCCAUUGAUGAGCAUUAACUCCAAAUUCGUUCGUCUUCUCCGCUUUUAUGUCACAAUUUCUUCCACCUCCGUGCCACAAAUGCCAUGAAACCGCCUCGCAGCACUCAAAUUACGGCCCUCGUUAUCUUCUGCUUAAUUACCCUGCAAAUGCGUGCAAAGUUGUGUUUAUAAACCCUCUGUACUGCCAUACUCAUCGACCACGAACGCCUGCUCACAUCCACGUCUGGGAACAUGAUCUAUCUUGGGGUAUGGAUGGAACUUCAUGCAGAAGGGCAUCAACAUCCUCGAGGGUAAGCUGGAGCCACAGUUCAGCUCCAAGGAAUAGAUGAUGCUCUGCACUAAGUCGCCUCCUUCCCCACCUCCCUCCGGCCAUGCCUAGGCUUGGCCCGAUUUGAUCUGAUCCGUGUUGAUCUAGAGUUUAUGCGCCCCUCCUGUUUGUCUUUUUUGUUGUGCAGCGGGAUAUACUCGCAACAGCUGUACGACCAGUACUGCAAGUCCGUUGAGGAGUACAUCCGAGCAACGGUGAGUUUAUUUGCAGCUAUUGCGGAUAUGUACAUGACUGUUGUGUGGUCAGAUUAUCCCCUGUUUUCUGUGUGUGUUGGUCCUGUUGAUUUCUGGUCCAAUGAACCAAGGAGAAUCUGAUUGUUUUUUGGUUUCGAACAUGCACAGAUGGGUUUGCCUUUGUGUACUUUUUGGGGUUCAGGUGGAGCGUUAUGGUCGGUUGUUUUACUGGCUGGGAAUGACUACAUGCUCAUCUUAGUAUCUUAGUAUGUACUACCCACAUAAUCAUAUCCCGUUAAAUUAUUUUGUUCUUUAUUCACAAAAAAUAAAUAUUAUUUUUUGUUUCAGUAUAUACUACUAUCUUUUAUGCAGUAGGUGUAACCGGUCUAAUACCCCUUAAUUUAAAUUAGUGCAUAGUGAUUUUGCUUUCUACCUGACAAUGUGCUUUAGGUAUCAAGAAGUUGGAAAAGUGAAGCUGCAUUCUGACUGCUUGGACGAGUCCUCAGUCUAGCCCCCAUCGUCCUCAAGUUGUAGGUACGUCGGCUCUCACUUGGCAUAUCUGAUGUGUGCAUUGUUGGGGAACGUAGUAAUUUUAAAAAAUUCCUACGCACACGCAAGAUCAUGGUGAUGCAUAGCAACGAGAGGGGAGAGUGUUGUCCAGGUACCCUCGUAGACCGAAAACGGAAGCGUUAGCACAACGCGGUUGAUGUAGUCGUACGUCUUCACGAUCCGACCGAUCAAGUACCGAACAUACGGCACCUCCGAGUUCAGCACACGUUCAACCCGAUGACGUCCCUCGAACUCCGAUCCAGCCGAGUGUUGAGGGAGAGUUUCGUCAGCACGACAGCGUGGUGACGAUGAUGAUGUUUUACCGACGCAGGGCUUCGCCUAAGCACCGCUACAGUAUUAUCGAGGUGGACUAUGGUAGAGGGGGGCACCGCACACGGCCAAAGAUCAAACGAUCAAUUGUUGUGUCCUUGGGGUGCCCCCCUGCCCCCGUAUAUAAAGGAGCAAGGGGGGGAGGUGCGGCCGGCCGGGGAGGAGGUGCGCCAGGAGGAGUCCUACUCCCACCGGGAGUAGGACUCCCUCCCUUCCUUGUUGGACUAGGAGAGGAGAGGGAAGGAGAGAGGGCGGAAGGAAAGGGGGGCGCCCCCCCCCUCAUUGUCCAAUUCGGACUUGGGGGGGAGGGGCGCGCGGCUGCCCCUUGGCCGCCUCUCCUCUUCCACCAAUUGGGCCCAUGAGGCCCAAUAGCCUCCGGGGGGUUCCGGUAACCCCCCGGUACUCCAGUAUAUAUCCGAUAACCCCCGGAACCAUUCUGGUGUCCGAAUAUAGUCAUCCAAUAUAUCAAUCUUCAUGUCUCGACCAUUUCGAGACUCCUUGUCAUGUUCGUGAUCACAUCCGGGACUCCAAACAACCUUCGGUACAUCAAAACAUAUAAACUCAUAAUAUAAUUGUCAUCGAAACGUUAAGCGUGCGGACCCUACGGGUUUGAAAACUAUGUAGACAUGACCGAGUCACGUCUCCGGUCAAUAACCAAUAGCGGAACCUGGAUGCUCAUAUUGGCUCCCACAUAUUCUACGAAGAUCUUUAUCGGUCAGACCGCAUAACAACAUACGUUGUUCCCUUUGUCAUCGGUACGUUACUUGCCCGAGAUUCGAUCGUCGGUAUCUCAAUACCUAGUUCAAUCUCGUUACCGGCAAGUCUCUUUACUCGUUCCGUAAUACAUCAUCCCACAAUUAACUCAUUAGUUGCAAUGCUUGCAAGGCUUAAGUGAUGUGCAUUACCGAGAGGGCCCAAAGAUACCUCUCCGACAAUCGGAGUGACAAAUCCUAAUCUCGAAAUACGCCAACCCAACAAGUACCUUUGGAGACACUUGUAAAGCACCUUUAUAAUCACCCAGUUACGUUGUGACGUUUGGUAGCACACAAAGUGUUCCUCCGGUAAACGGGAGUUGCAUAAUCUCAUAGUCAUAGGAACAUGUAUAAGUCAUGAAGAAAGCAAUAGCAACAUACUAAACGAUUGAGUGCUAAGCUAACGGAAUGGGUCAAGUCAAUCACAUCAUUCUCCUAAUGAUGCGAUCCCGUCAAUCAAAUGACAACUCAUGCCUAUGGCUAAGAAACAUAACCAUCUUUGAUCAACGAGCUAGUCAAGUAGAGGCAUACUAGUGACACUCUGUUUGUCUAUGUAUUCACACAUGUAUCAUGUUUCCGGUUAAUACAAUUCUAGCAUGAAUAAUAAACAUUUAUCAUGAUAUAAGGAAAUAAAUAAUAACUUUAUUAUUGCCUCUAGGGCAUAUUUCCUUCAGUCUCCCACUUGCACUAGAGUCAAUAAUCUAGUUCACAUCGCUAUGUGAUUUAACAUCAAUCGUUCACAUCUUUAUGUGGUUAACACCCAUAGUUCACAUCGACAUGUGACCAACACCCAAAGGGUUUACUAGAGUCAGUAAUCUAGUUCACAUCGCUAUGUGAUUAACACCCAAAGAGUACUAAGGUGUGAUCAUGUUUUGCUUGUGAGAUAAUUUUAGUCAACGGGUCUGUCACAUUCAGAUCCGUAAGUAUUUUGCAAAUUUCUAUGUUUACAAUGCUCUGCACGGAGCUACUUUAGCUAAUUGCUCCCACUUUUCAAUAUGUAUCUGGAUUGUGACUUAGAGUCAUCCAGAUCGGUGUCAAAGCUUGCAUCGACGUAACUCUUUACAACGAACUCCUUAUCACCUCCAUAACCGAGAAAUAUAUCCUUAUUCCGCAAAGGAUAAUUUUGACCGUUGUCCAGUGAUCUACUCCUAGAUCACUAUUGUACUCCCUUGCCAAAAUCAGUGCAGGGUAUACAAUAGAUCUGGUACAUAGCAUGGCAUACUUUAUAGAACCUAUGGCUGAGGCAUAGGGAAUGACUUUCAUUCUCUUUCUAUCUUCUGCCGUGGUCGGGCUUUGAGUCUUACUCAAUUUCACACCUUGUAACACAGGAAAGAACUCUUUCUCUGACUGUUCCAUUUUGAACUAUUUCAAAAUCUUGUCAAGGUAUGUACUCAUUGAAAAAAAACUUAUCAAGUGUCUUGAUCUAUCUCUAUAGAUCUUGAUGCUCAAUAUGUAAGCACCUUCACCGAGGUCUUUCUUUGAAAAACUCCUUUCAAACACUCCUUUAUGCUUUGCAGAAUAAUUCUACAUUAUUUCUGAUCAACAAUAUGUCAUUCACAUAUACUUAUCAGAAAUGUUGUAGUGCUCCCACUCACUUUCUUGUAAAUACAGGCUUCACCGCAAGUAUGUAUAAAACUAUAUGCUUUGAUCAACUCAUCAAAGCGUAUAUUCCAACUCCGAGAUGUUUGCACCAGUCCAUAGAUGGAUCGCUGGAGCUUGCACAUUUUGUUAGCACCUUUAGGAUCGACAAAACCUUCUGGUUGCAUCAUAUACAACUCUUCUUUAAGAAAUCCAUUAAGGAACGUAGUUUUGACAUCCAUUUGCCAGAUUUCAUAAAAUUUGGCAAUUUGCUAACAUGAUUCGGACAGACUCAAGCAUCGCUAUGACUGAGAAAAUCUCAUCGUAGUCAACACCUUGAACUUUGUCAAAAACCUUUUUUCGACAAGUCUAGCUUUGUAGAUAGUAAUACUACUAUCAGUGUCUAUCUUCCUCUUGAAGAUCCAUUUAUUUUCUAUGGCUUGCCGAUCAUCGGGCAAGUCAACCAAAGUCCACACUUUGUUCUCAUACAUGGAUCCCAUCUCAGAUUUCAUGGCCUCAAGCCAUUUUUGCGGAAUCUGGGCUCAUCAUCGCUUCCUCAUAGUUCGUACGUUCGUUAUGGUCAAGUAACAUGACCUCCAGAACAGGAUUACCGUACCACUCUGGUGCGGAUCAAACUCUGGUUUACCUACGAGGUUCGGUAGUAACUUGAUCUGAAGUUACAUGAUCAUCAUCAUUAGCUUCCUCGCUAGUUGGUGUAGUAGUCACAGGAACAGAUUUCUGUGAUGAACUAUUUUCCAAUAAGGGAGCAGGUACAGUUACCUCAUCAAGUUCUACUUUCCUCCCGCUCACUUCUUUCGAGAGAAACUCCUUCUCUAGAAAGGAUCCAUUCUUAGCAACGAAUAUCUUGCCUUCGGAUCUGUGAUAGAAGGUGUACCCAACUGUCUUCUUUGGGUAUCCUAUGAAGACACAUUUCUCCGAUUUGGGUUUUAGCUUAUCAGGAUGAAACUUUUCUUAUAAGCAUCGCAACCCAAACUUUAAGAAACGACAACUUUGGUUUCUUGCCAAACCACAGUUCAUACGGUGUUGUCUCAACGGAUUUAGAUGGUGCCCUUUUUAACGUGAAUGCAGCUGUCUCUAAUGCAUAACCCCAAAACUAUAGUGGUAAAUCAGUAAGAAACAUCAUAGAUUGCACUAUAUCCAAUAAAGUACGGUUAUGACGUUCGGACACACCAUUACGCUGUGGUGUUCCACAUGGCGUGAGUUGCGAAUCUAUUCCGCAUUGUUUCAAAUGAAGACCAAACUCGUAACUCAAAUAUUCUCCUCCACGGUCAGAUCGUAGAAACUUUAUUUUCUUGUUACGAUGAUUUUCCACUUCACUCUGAAAUUAUAUGAAAUUUUCAAAUGUUUCAGACUUUAUGUUUCAUCAAGUAGAUAUACCCAUAUCUACUCAAAACAUCUGUGAAGGUCUGAAAAAUAACGAUACCUGCAGUGAGCCUCAAUAUUCAUUGGACCACAUACAUCAGUAUGUAUGAUUUCCAACAAAUCUGUUGCUCGCUCCAUUGUUCCGGAGAACGGAGUCUUAGUCAUCUUGCCCACGAGGCAUGGUUCGCAAGCAUCAAGUGAUUCAUAAUCAAGUGAUUCCAAAAACCCAUCAGCAUGGAGUUUCUUCAUGCGCUUUACACCAAUAUGACCUAAACGGCAGUGCCACAAAUAAAUUGCACUAUCAUUAUUAACUUUGCAUCUUUUGGCUUCAAUAUUAUGAAUGUGUGUAUCACUAUGAUCGAGAUCCAACAAACCAUUUUCAUUGGUGUGUAUGACCAUAGAAGGUUUUAUUCAUCUAAACAGAACAACAAUUGUUCUCUAACUUAAAUGAAUAACCGUAUUGCAAUAAACAUGAUCAAAUCAUAUUCAUGCUCAACGCAAACACCAAAUAACACUUAUUUAGGUUCAACACUAAUCCCGAAAGUAUAGGGAGUGUGCGAUGAUGAUCAUAUCAAUCUUGGAACCACUUCCAACACACAUCGUCACUUCACCCUUAACUAGUCUCUGUUUAUUCUGCAACUCCCGUUUCAAGUUACUAAUCUUUAGCAAUUGACCUAGUAUCAAAUACUGAGGGGUUGCUAUAAACACUAGUAAAGUACACAUCAAUAACAUGUAUAUCAAAUAUACCUUUGUUCACUUUGCCAUCCUUCUUAUCCGCCAAAUACUUGGGGCAGUUCCGCUUCCAGUGACCAGUCCCUUUGCAGUAGAAGCACUUAGUCUCAGGCUUAGGUCCAGACUUGGGUUUCUUCACUUGAGCAGCAACUUGCUUGCCGUUCUUCUUUGAAGUUCCCCUUCUUCCCUUUGCCCUUUUCUUGAAACUAGUGGUCUUGUCAACCAUCAACACUUGAUGCUUUUCUUGAUUUCUACCUUCGUUGAUUUCAGCAUCACGAAGAGCUUGGGAAUCGUUUCCGUUAUCCCUUGCAUAUUAUAGUUCAUCACGAAGUUCUAGUAACUUGGUGAUAGUGACUAGAGAACUCUGUCAAUCACUAUCUUAUCUGGAAGAUUAACUCCCACUUGAUUGAAGUGAUUGUAGUACUCAGACAUUCUGAGCACAUGCUCACUAGCUAAGCAAUUCUCCUCCAUCUUGUAGGCAAAGUACUGUCAGAGGUCAAAUACCUCUCGACACGGGCAUGAGUAUGAAAUACCAAUUUCAACUCUUGGAACAUCUUAUAUGCUCCGUGGCGUUUCAAAACAUUUUUUAAGUCCCGGUUCUAAGCCGUAGAGCAUGGUGCACUAAACUAUCAAGUAGUCAUCAUACCGAGCUUUUGUCAAACGUUCAUAACGUCUGCAUCUUCUCCUGCAAUAGGUCUGUCACCUAGCGGUGCAUUAAGGACAUAAUUCUUCUGUGCAGCAAUGAGGAUAAUCCUUAGAUCACGGACCCAGUCCGCAUCAUUGCUACUAUCAUCUUUCAACUUAGUUUUCUCUAGGAACAUGUAUAAACAUAGGGAAGCAACAACGCGAGCUAUUGAUCUACAACAUAGAUAUGCUAAUACUACCAGGACUAAGUUCAUGAAUAAAUUAAAGUUCAAUUAAUCAUAUUACUUAAGAACUCCCACUUAGAUAGACAUCCCUCUAAUCCUCUAAGUGAUCACGUGAUCCAUAUCAACCAAACCAUGUCCGAUCAUCACGUGAGAUGGAGUAGUUUCAACGAUGAACAUCACUAUGUUGAUCAUAUCUACUAUAUGAUUCACGCUCGACCUUUCGGUCUCCGUGUUCUGAGGCCAUAUCUGUUAUAUGCUAGGCUCGUUAAGCUUAACCUGAGUAUUCCACGUGUGCAACUGUUUUGCACCCGUUGUAUUUGAACGUAGAGCCUAUCACACCCGAUCAUCACGUGGUGUCUCAGUACGAAGAACUUUCGCAACGGUGCAUACUCAGGGAGAACACUUAUACUUUGAUAAUUUAGUGAGGGAUCAUCUUAUAAUGCCACCGUCAAUCAAAGCAAGAUAAGAUGCAUAAAAGAUAAACAUCACAUGCAAUCAAUAUAAGUGAUAUGAUAUGGCCAUCAUCAUCUUGUGCUUGUGAUCUCCAUCUCCGAAGCACCGUCAUGAUCACCAUCGUCACCGGCGCGACACCUUGAUCUUCAUCGUAGCAUCGUUGUCGUCUCGCCAAUCUUAUGCUUCUACGACUAUCGCAACCGCUUAGUGAUAAAGUAAAGCAUUACAGGGCGAUUGCAUUGCAUACAAUAAAGCGACAACCAUAUGGCUCCUGCCAGUUGCCGAUAACUCGGUUACAAAACAUGAUCAUCUCAUACAAUAAAAUUUAGCAUCAUGUCUUGACCAUAUCACAUCACAACAUGCCCUGCAAAAACAAGUUAGACGUCCUCUACUUUGUUGUUGCAACUUUUACGUGGCUGCUAUGGGCUUAGCAAGAACCGUUCUUACCUACGCAUCAAAACCACAACGAUAGUUUGUCAAGUUGGUGCUGUUUGAACCUUCGCAAGGACCGGGCAUAGCCACACUCGGUUCAACUAAAGUUGGAGAAACUGACACCCGCCAGCCACCUGUGUGCAAAGUGUUGGAAAUAUGCCCUAGAGGCAAUAAUAAAUUGGUUAUUAUUAUAUUUCCUUGUUCAUGAUAAUCGUUUAUUAUCCAUGCUAGAAUUGUAUUGAUAGGAAACUCAGAUACAUGUGUGGAUACAUAGACAACACCAUGUCCCUAGUAAGCCUCUAGUUGACUAGCUCGUUGAUCAAUAGAUGGUUACGGUUUCCUGACCAUGGACAUUGGAUGUCGUUGAUAACGGGAUCACAUCAUUAGGAGAAUGAUGUGAUGGACAAGACCCAAUCCUAAGCCUAGCACAAGAUCGUGUAGUUCGUUUGCUAAGAGCUUUUCUAAUGUCAAGUAUCAUUUCCUUAGACCAUGAGAUUGUGCAACUCCCGGAUACCGUAGGAAUGCUUUGGGUGUACCAAACGUCACAACGUAACUGGGUGGCUAUAAAGGUGCACUACAGGUAUCUCCGAAAGUGUCUGUUGGGUUGGCACAAAUCGAGACUGGGAUUUGUCACUCCGUGUAAACGGAGAGGUAUCUCUGGGCCCACUCGGUAGGACAUCAUCAUUAUGUGCACAAUGUGACCAAGGAGUUGAUCACGGGAUGAUGUGUUACGGAACGAGUAAAGAGACUUGCCGGUAACGAGAUUGAACAAGGUAUCGGGAUACCGACGAUCGAAUCUCGGGCAAGUAACAUACCGAUAGACAAAGGGAAUUGUAUACGGGAUUGAUUGAAUCCUCGACAUCGUGGUUCAUCCGAUGAGAUCAUCGAGGAGCAUGUGGGAGCCAACAUGGGUAUCCAGAUCCCGCUGUUGGUUAUUGACCGGAGAGUCGUCUCGGUCAUGUCUGCGUGUCUCCCGAACCCGUAGGGUCUACACACUUAAGGUUCGGUGACGCUAGGGUUAUAGAGAUAUUAGUAUGUGGUAACCCGAAAGUUGUUCGGAGUCCCGGAUGAGAUCCCGGACAUCACGAGGAGUUCCGGAAUGGUCCGGAGGUAAAGAUUUAUAUAUGGGAAGUCUUAUUUUGGUCGCCGGAAAAGUUUUGCGCAUUAUCGGUAUUGUACCGGGAGUGCCGAAAGGGGUCCGGGGGUCCACCAAGGGGGUCCACCAGCCCCGGGGGGCCACAUGGGCUGUAGGGGUGUGCGCCUUGGCCUAUAUGGGCCAAGGGCACCAGCCCCAAGAGGCCCAUGCGCCAAGAGAUAAGGGGGAAGGCACCUCCGAGGUGCCUUGGGGAGGAUGGGACUCCUCCCUGGUCGCACCCUUCCUUGGAGGAAGGGCCAAGGCUGCGCCCCCCCCCCCCCUCUCCCUUGGCCCUAUAUAUAGUGGGGGAGGGAGGGCAGCAAUAUCUAAGCCCUGGCACCUCCCUCUCCCUCCUGUGACACAUCUCCCUCCUCCCGCAGCGCUUGGCGAAGCCCUGUUGGAAUCCCGCUACUUCCACCACCACGCCGUCGUGCUGCUGGAUCUCCAUCAACCUCUCCUCCCCCCUUGCUGGAUCAAGAAGGAGGAGACGUCGCUGCUCCGUACGUGCGUUGAACGCGGAGGUGCCGUCCGUUCGGCGCUAGGAUCAUCGGUGAUUUGGAUCACGACGAGUACGACUCCAUCAACCCCGUUCUCUCGAACGCUUCCGCUCGCGAUCUACAAGGGUAUGUAGAUGCACUCCUUCCCUCUCGUUGCUAGUAAACUCCAUAGAUUGAUCUUGGUGAUGCGUAGAAAAUUUUGAAUUUCUGCUACGUUCCCCAACACAAAGCACGUCGGUAGAACCAGUCUCGCGUAAGCGUACGCGUAAUGUCGGUCCGGGCCGCUUCAUCCAACAAUACCGCCGAACCAAAGUAUGACAUGCUGGUAAGCAGUAUGACUUAUAUCGCCCACAACUCACUUGUGUUCUACUCGUGCAUAUAACAUCAAUGCAUAAAACCUGGCUCUGAUGCCACUGUUGGGGAACGUAGUAAUUUCAAAAAAAAUUCUACGCACACGCAAGAUCAUGGUGAUGCAUAGCAACGAGAGGGGAGAGUGUUGUCCACGUACCCUCGUAGACCGAAAGCGGAAGCGUUAGCACAACGCAGUUGAUGUAGUCAUACGUCUUCACGAUCAGACCGAUCAAGUACCGAACGCACGGCACCUCCGAGUUCAGCACACGUUCAGCCCGAUGACGUCCCUCGAACUCCGAUCCAGCCGAGUGUUGAGGGAGAGUUUUGUCAGCACGACGGCGUGGUGACGAUGAUGAUGUUCUACCGACGCAGGGCUUCGCCUAAGCACCUCUACAGUAUUAUCGAGGUGGACUAUGGUGGUGGGGGGCACCGCACACGGCUAAAAGAUCAAACGAUCAAUUGUUGUGUCCUUGGGGUGCCCUCCUGCCCCCGUAUAUAAAGGAGCAUGGGGGGAGGUGCGGCCGACCAGGGAGGAGGCGCGCCAGGAGGAGUCCUACUCCCACCGGGAGUAGGACUCCCUCCCUUCCUUGUUGGACUAGGAGAGGAGAGGGAAGGAGAGAGGGGGGAAGGAAAGGGGGGCGCCCCCCCCCCUCAUUGUCCAAUUCGGACUUGGGGGGAGGGGCGCGCGGCUGCCCCUUGGCCGCCUCUCCUCUUCCACCAAUUGGGCCCAUGAGGCCCAAUAGCCUCCGGGGGGUUCCCGUAACCCCCCGGUACUCCGGUAUAUAUCCGAUAACCCCCGGAACCAUUCCGGUGUCCGAAUAGUCAUCCAAUAUAUCAGUCUUCAUGUCUCGACCAUUUCGAGACUCCUCGUCAUGUCCAUGAUCACAUCCGGGACUCCGAACAACCUUCGGUACAUCAAAACAUAUAAACUCAUAAUAUAACUGUCAUCGAAACGUUAAGCGUGCGGACCCUACGGGUUCGAAAACUAUGUAGACAUGACCGAGACACGUCUCCGGUCAAUAACCAAUAGUGGAAUCUGGAUGCUCAUAUUGGCUCCCACAUAUUCUACGAAGAUCUUUAUCGGUCAGACCGCAUAACAACAUAUGUUGUUCCCUUUGUCAUCAGUAUGUUACUUGCCCGAGAUUCGAUCGUCGUUAUCUCAAUACCUAGUUCAAUCUCGUUACCGGCAAGUCUCUUUACUCGUUCCGUAAUACAUCAUCCCACAACUAACUCAUUAGUUGCAAUGCUUGCAAGGCUUAAGUGAUGUGCAUUACCGAGAGGGCCCAGAGAUACCUCUCCGACAAUCGGAGUGACAAAUCCUAAUCUCGAAAUACGCCAACCCAACAAGUACCUUUGGAGACACCUGUAGAGCACCUUUAUAAUCACCCAGUUACGUUGUGACGUUUGGUAGCGCACAAAGUGUUCCUCCGGUAAACGGGAGUUGCAUAAUCUCAUAGUCAUAGGAACAUGUAUAAGUCAUGAAGAAAGCAAUAGCAACAUACUAAAUGAUCGAGUGCUAAGCUAACGGAAUGGGUCAAGUCAAUCACAUCAUUCUCCUAAUGAUGUGAUCCCGUUAAUCAAAUGACAAUUCAUGUCUAUGGCUAGGAAACAUAACCAUCUUUGAUCAACGAGCUAGUCAAGUAGAGGCAUACUAGUGACACUCUGUUUAUCUAUGUAUUCACACAUGUAUCAUGUUUCCGGUUAAUACAAUUCUAGCAUGAAUAAUAAACAUUUAUCAUGAUAUAAGGAAAUAAAUAAUAACUUUAUUAUUGCCUCUAGGGCAUAUUUCCUUCAUGCAUUCAAUCACCUCUUCGUCGGCUUCUAGCAUGGUAAUCGUAGUGUUUCUUUGGUGAGUUAGCUAACUAUGCAGCUAGGGAGGAAGCCAUCUAGGCUGCUCAGUUCUCGGUGAUCAGUGUACGAGCAGGGACAGCUACAAUUUGGUGGACCUGCUUAUGCCACUUCUCCCUUUCUACCUUCACAGCUGAUCUGGGUGUCGGUGUCUCAGCUCCCCCAUACUGCAUGGUAACUGAGAUGUGCGCGAUUUGAGCCAAGCGCCAUGGAUGUAGUCUCAUUUCUGGACCGUCUGCUUUUACUUUUUCAUUAGUAUACUUCUGAUGCUAACUUAAUGAUCAUCCUCUAUUUCUGGUUGAAGGUUUUCAUUAUCGCAUAUUCAAAUUUACAUUGGACAUGUAUAUACGUAUUUCCUGAUGGAAUAAUUUUUCUUUGUCUGACUUUUCAUUUGUGCUAUAUAGUUAACCAUUAGUUUGCACCUCAAUAAUGGUCUUUUGUUUGUUCUUGAUACUUGCAGGUUACUGAUUGUUGGAUUUGCUGAAUUGGUAGAUUUUUAGUUCAGUUAAACACUACUGGACUGCUGAAUUGGUGACCUUCCUAUACAAGUUUUGUGUAUGCGGCAACAUUUUUUUUGGCUCCAAUAGUUAUUUUGUUCUAGAAGAUAUUUAAUGAAUUACCGUCAUUUUGACGAUAACCGGACAGGCAUUGAUCGAACAUCCAAAUUUAUACCUUUUACAUUUGACUACUGCUGUGCUGAUUUGGAUGCACUAUUUUCAUGUAUAUAACAUGCAAGUGUUAUCAUUUUCUUCGUUUUAGAUUCUUUGUAUAAACACUACUGUUACCAUUCGAGGAAAGCAGUGCUUUUGUAUGCACAUACGGUUAAAUGAAGGUCAAGGUAUGGUGGCAGUCCCCAUUCUAGAAGAAUGCAGAGUAUUACUACAAGAUUUCGAGAAGGUUACUAUUGAGCAUUGUAAUAGAGAAUCGAAUGUUGUUGCUCAUGAGCUAGCUAGAUGGGGUAGUGCAAACACUCCCUCUAUAUGGGUGGAUGCACCCCGGAUUUUAUUGUAAAACUCUUAGCGAACGAUGUACGUAUUAUUGAGUAAUAAAGCUAGGCAUGAAGGCCUUCCCUAAAAAGAUAUGUUUUCCCCACAAAAGGGUAAUGUUUUGAUGCACAGGAAAGUAGCUAUUUUCUUUGCACGGAUUACUUCUCCACAUUAUAAAUUUAAGCAAAACUAUUCUGCAGCAACGCGCGGGGAAUCACCUAGUAACCAAAGUUGACGUGAACUUUUGAACAACAAAUAAUUUUUAGUCACAUGAUUCGGUUUAUGUAUGUAGGUUAGAGUUUUCUUGUGAGAACUGCACGAGGGGGGGUGCCGACUUUUGUUGAGUUUUGAGGGUUUUAGGAUAUGGAGCGGUGGGAAUAUCACCAUAGGCUAGCUUUCUGCAACAUGGCCCUUGUUGCAAUUCUACGGAGCGCAAGAGAGGGUUUGUUGCAUACAGGUAAACAAAGUCAACCUAGCGUCUUCCAUGCCCCCGAUCGGAUCGAAAGCAACGUACUCCACAUAGCAUUAUUCCAUCUGGCCAGUCGCCGGGAGCGUCAUCACCAGCGAGCCGUGCGUCCGCCGUUGUGCCCCUUCCCUUCCUCCUCCACCUCUCUUCUCCUCACAUUUGCAGGCAACCACAAACGCUAGGUGCCGCCAUGGCCGACCUCAUCUUCUGACCAUCACGGACUACGGCACCGACAAUGGGACGUCGCCAGAUCUGGCCAGACACGACCGCCGAUGAUGCACCAUCGCUGAAUCUGGCAAGGCACAACCACCCACGACGCGCCGUCGUCGGAUCAUCUCACCCUGCGACGUCGCGGCCACCACGGCAGCCGUCACGGCCGGCUCCGGUCAUCAUUACCACGUGCCCUACCUCCCUUGCAGCCUUGUCACCCUGCAACAGGGGUCAUGUUGCAAUUGCAACAUAACUCUUGUUGCAAUCUCGAUGGACACAAGCGAGCUACAGUGUUUUUUCGCAACAUUUUUUUGCAACAAGGCUUUUGUUUCAAGAUAUUUUUCUGCAACAAGGGUCUUCUUUCCAUCAUGAGCUCAGGUUGGAUGGCCGGCGACCCAGCCGGUCUUUUUAAAAGAUCAGCCAGCGAACGAGCACUCCCCUUUUUAUAGGAGUUAAAAGGUUUUGAGAGUUGCUUAACCCCUUAAAAGGAAGCGAAACGAUGUCCCUCAGUCGAUUGAUUACUUCACGCGCGUCGAUCGUCUCCACAGCCGUCUGAUCCGAGUUUUAUCGGGCAGCCAUUAGCACAUGCCCGAUGUCACAUACGUCUUGCGGUACGACUCAUGUUGCAGACUGGCCAAGCAUAACAUGGGGUCUGUUGUGGAUAGGUCGACUAGAGAGAGAGAGAGAGAGGCGCUGACGAUGGGCUCUGCAACACGACUCGUUUCGGACAGUCUGAGCGCAACAUGACUCGUAUCACAAUGGUGAAAAAUCUUAGGAACGAACAUAGUUCAUGUUGUAAACCCCGAGCACAACACGACCCGUCUUGCAUCUAGAUGGGGGACAAAUGCAGGAACUUCCUGCAGUCACAAUACAUGUCAUGUUUUUGAACACAGUACAGACGCAAGCGCUCAUAUACACGCACAUACACUCACCCCAUGAACGCACGCACGCACGCACACCCUACCCCUAUGAGUAUCUCCGAAAGACUGAGCCGGCAUAUCAUCUUGAAAUUUACGAAGUCACCGUAGGCACCUCGUGGUCGACGGGAAUGUCUCCUCUCGCCAGAAAUACUGAUAUAAAUUCAGGAAUAAAUGCGAGCAUCAGAAUUUAAACCCUAGUAGGCUGGGGAUACCAUAGUCCCUCUAACCAUCCAACCACAGAUUGGUUCGCCAAUACAUGUCAUGUUGCAUUGAUAAAUAAACGCUUCAGUACAAAGCACAACACGUCUCAUGUUACAAACCCCCAAACACAAAACGCUUAACUCAUGUUACAAACCCCGAGCGCAAAACGUUGUUGAAGCGCAACACGCCUCAUGUCACAAGGGAAUGUAUCUGGUGCACCGGGGCAAUUGGUGCUACCGGUGCACCGAUCCCCCGUUACACAUUCAAAAAUGUUCAAAAAAAUCCGUAAAAGAAUUAGUGCAUUGGCACAACAUCAAUGUAAGAUGUCACAAAAAUUUGAAUCAAAAUUCGAAACAUUGCUCAAGAUACAAAAAUGACAAAUUUGACACUGAAUAGUACAUAACACAAGUUGGGCUUCAGUUUUGGCCCAUCAGCACAUUGAUGUCAAAUUUGUCAUUUUUGUAUCUUGAGCAAUGUUUCGAAUUUUGAUUCAAAUUUUUGUGACAACUUACAUAGAUGUUGUGUCAAUGCACUAAAUUUUUGUUGGAUUUUUUCGAACAUUUUUAAAUGUGCAACGGAGUCCGGUGCAACGGUAGCACCAAUUGCCCCAGUGCACCGGAUACGUUCCCCAUGUCACAAACCCCCGAGCGCAACAAGAGCCGUGUUGCCAACGGCUGGAGACAUGGCCUGUUGACGCGACGGGUAUGAGACGACCGUCGUCCGCUGGCACUGACCGGGCACUCCUUAAAAAAAUGCAAACCACAUCCAUACAAACUCAUGCAACUACGUCGACGCACACGCAUUGUCCGGCUACUCCAUCACACUACACUAAACAUGCCAUCGGACUACCCAAAUUUGGCAUGUUUGUUAUGGUGAAGUUCAUCCACGGCUGCCCUUACCCUUCCUGACGCCAUUGCCGUCCUUCUCGCGGAAGUACCGGUCAAAGACGCAGUACGGAUCGAGCCGGAUCUGCUCGUUGCUGGAGCUGUCCUCGCCGUCGCUGUCCUCAUUCGGUGGCAGUCCGGCCAUGACACGGACCGCCCGAUUUUGCUCUCGGGCAAGGGCGCGCGUGUUCCUCCGCUGCCGUUUCUUCACAAUGCGGGCGCGGAUGGCUUCCUCCUCUGCGGCCGCCCGCGUCGCUGCAUCAGCCGCCUCCGUCGUCGUCAUUUCCUCCGCGAUAUGGGCCUCGAAGACCCUUAUCCUCUCCUUCCCAUGGCGGGCCGCCCCAUUCCCGGUGGGACUCACUCUACCCGACCGAUGAUGGGGAAGGACAGGUGUUCCGGCCGGGACCGCGAGGAUCUGGCACCAGAGGACCUAAGCACCCGGUAAGCCGACGCUAUGGUGUCGCGGCGGACGGAUCCGUCCGUCGGUCGGGCGCUGUCCUCCCUGGAGCGGCGGAGUGCAAUGUGGACUGCCAUUGCCUCCUCCAACCCACACGGGAUGACAACCCAAUCGACGGAUCCGGACUGGUCGGAGUCCGAUCCGCUGGCUGCCAUGGUGGAGAAGGCCGGAAAUCACCGGAGGUGAGCUCGGGGGCGGAGGGAGUGGAGUGAAGUGGCUAAGGUUUUCUCCGGCGAGAGGAUGGGGACAAAUAUAAGUGGGGCCAGGUGGGCCAGCAUGGGCUGGGUCCGACGGGUGGGCAGGCCCGGGCGCGCCCGGGCGCCCAUAUCCGUCCCAUAUUUGUGCUGGAUAUGGGGGGUGCCGGUCAGCCCGGGCGUUUGAGGCCCGUUUGAGGCGUCCGUCUAGGUCAAAAAAACAUGACCAUAAGUGACCGGGCAGCCCGCCCGGGCAUAUGAGACGGAUUUGAGAGGUCCGGUUGUAGAUGCUCUAAGCCCCACAUCUCAUAGAUACAAAAGGUGUGAUAAGAUUUCUUUAGACAAGUCAAAGUGUGGCUAAGAAUUUGAGCAGCUCAAGUGAGACAAGUAUGGCAAAUAGUAUGGUAAGGAUAGUCACAAUCCAAACAGGCACUUGUAAAAUUUUAAGAUGACAUGCCGGCUUAGUCUCUCGAAGAUGCGCAGGUGCGCUCAUAGGAUGAGUAUGCCCGACACGUAGCGCCCUGAAAAAAAUCAAAGAAAAUCUUUUAAGGAGUUAUAAGCGCUUUUCAGAGUUCGAUUAGACACGUCUUAAGACUUCCCCGCAGGGAGCGCGGCGUUUCGCGGGGAAGACCUUUUCUCCGCCGCCGUUGCUUCCCCCCUCGCUCGGAUCGCGGCGCCGGCACGCGCGAAGCCGGCGGUGGCCGGCGCGCUUCCAGCGAGGUCGAUCCCGAGUGCUCCAGGAGCCCGUGUGAUCGUCCACGUCGUCGCCGGCUUACCCCGAUGGAUCGCCGGUACGCUCUGUUCCAUCUCCUCCCACCCCCCAUGGCCCAUCCCCCCAUGCACACGGCCAAGACCCCACCCAUUGGCAGAUGAUCCCCGCCCGCUAAGGUUCGUUCUCCGUAGCCGCGAUCUGAUCUGGAAUUGCCUGACACGAUUUGAUCCUUUUCAAUCGAUCAACCAUUUGGGAAGCAGGGAGUUCCUAGUUCAGAUCUAUUGGAAAUUUAUCGUAUGCUUAGCUCACUUCAGGCUUAGCAGAUACUCCAAAUGUUGUAACCAAGCUGGUCUUAGAGUUUGCGUCAUGGAGUACUUUGUACUGUUUGGUGACCUGUGGUUGCUUUCCUAGCGCGUCCCCUCUCGAUUAGGAUUGGGAACCUAUGAAUCAUCGGGCAUCUCUGGACGAAACAUCGAAGAUAGGGACGCACCCUUGCCUGAUUCGUGCCGCCCGGAUGUCAUUUGACAGUUCGCUGGUUCCCCCUCAGCAGUCUCCUUAGAGGCAGGAUUAUGAAUGAAUUUCCCCAGCUGCUAUGAUUGCUAUUAGCAUGGAGUCAGAGCAGUGAUUGAUGUUUCUGAUAUUAUUAUGCACAUACACCUAAUUUGUUAACAAGAUCAGAUGUGCUCUUGUCUUGGGUGUGCCUCACAUUUUCCUUUCAUUUGUUCCUAAUGUACCAUUGGGGCGCUCCCGGUGCAUUGCAUAUAAUAGAGGUAUAGAUACAGCUUUCUCAAUGGGUUGUGCCUUUGUGUUGUAUUUACAAGCCUCUAUUGUUGCAUAUGAUCAGAAGUAGCAUAUUGUUUUUGUGGCCAGCCAACUUGUGGAACAUGUGAAAUAGAAUAAAUAGGUUGAACUACUAGCAAGGCUUGCCAAUACACAGUUCUCUGCAAAAAUAAUAGAAAUGAACGCCUGGCAGGUACAACACCUCACCCUAAGUUCACUUAACAUUCAUGGGCAAAUAGAAAAAACUUACUGCUGAAUAAACAUAAGAGGCCAAAAGCAAGCAGAUACUGCAUUUAAAUCCAAAUUUGUACUGUCAUUGCGGUGAGGAACAUGUAAACCUGCAAUGCAAAAGACAGGGAUACACAGAGUGUAUGAAUCAGCUGAGAUUAUCUCUACUGUUGUUAUACGCUGCACAUGUAGCUACGAUAUCAUUUAACGGUAGUAUCACAUAAACUUGCUUCUAGUGUUUGUCCGAAAGCUGCUCCAUGUCCCCGACUGCCAGCCAUACCUGAACAAAAGUAACACCUUAAUCUCAGCGCACAUCACCGGAGACGGAAAACUAUGGUGCUCAAGAUGAGCAGGCAGUGCCGCACCCUCACUGGCGAAAGAACCCUGACCGGUGUUGGAGCAGCCCGUUCAGAUCCGCUGGAGGGCAGCAACCUCCGACGCCAGAGCAGGAUGCUAUCUGAGGGCAGCGGUGGUGUCUCCCCUGUCGGUUGCCACAACAGAAAGAAACUAGACAGAGAACACAAUCGCUGAAAUUGUACGGGAGCAGGGGCAAGGUUAGAGGAAGAAAGAUGGCAAACGGGAGCUUUGUUUUGGAGGUAGAGGCGCAGGGGAUGCAUCCAGCACUAAAUUGGCCCACAUAGGCAUCGUUUUUUCCCCCAUUUAGUAGUAUCUCUUUUAAAAUACGGGUUCCCCCUCUCUCUUCUUUAAUUAAUCUUCCGCAUCAUAUUCAGUCUUAUGUGGCAUCGUCGAGAUACUGACAGUGGAAGCAAUGGAAGUGCUCUUAGCAUGCAUUUCCUAGAUACAGAAGUCUGUGUACAGUACAAUAUUGUUAGUAAAGCCACCAUUUAGGAGUUAAUAAUAAAUCACCCAUAACUGUAUAUAUUGCAUAUUUGGAAAAUCUGCCGUGCUGUGGUUAUCAUUCUACAGAUGAGAUGGCAGUGCAGACUACCCCACUGAACAUGUCUUAGGGUUUACUUUACAACCCUCUGUUUUGGUUCCUAGUUUCACCCACAAACUCUAAAACCCGUUUGCAAUAACAACCUUCACACGAAUUAACCGAUUUAACCAGUUCUAUAGAUGUAUCAGUCAAGUGUGCUUCCCCUACUUACUGAUAAUUUGAUGUCAGUUCUGAUUUACCAUACCUUUGUUUCAGUCUUUGAUGUUACUGAUACUAGUUAUGUGUGUGCCUUAACCUUAUCCUUUGUCUCUGGUGCCCUGCCCUCUUUGAAGCUAGGACAUGGAUGUGGGUACCCCUAUGUAUCAAAAAUUGUGUAUGGAAACCAAGAAUGGUCAUAUAGCGAAGUGGAUAUCGCGUUAGAUUCCGAAUCUAUAGGUCGUGGGUUCGAAUCCCACUAUGAUCAAUUUUGUCUUGGGUUUUUGCACAGGAAAUUUCGCCUUGGCCUUUUGUUUUGUUUCUUGUGUUUUUCAGCAGACAGUGACAUAGUGGCAGCGCCCACAAGGUAUUCAAGGUUCUUGUGAACAUGAUUGGUCCCAAGGCCCCAGCUUCCUGCCAAGAGUAUUGUCACAGAGUGCAGAAUUUCGCCGGUGCUCAUGCAUCCCUAUCAGCCAUUUUUACCCCAAAUGGCUUAUCCAUUUGCUUCAUGUAACCCUUUGGUGACUGUUGCUGUAAAUGUAAUUUGUCCUACUUGUUGGGGAUGUGACCAUUCCAUCCCAGGGAAGACUUGGUUGGCAAUUGGCCAUCAUUAUCCAGAACACGCGGUCAAGAUGUUGUUGUUUAUGAAGUUGAUUUUGUGUAUUUCAUGUAGUACAGAGAUUGGAUUGGUUUUAGCACAGUUAAGUCGAACAUUUUCCAUAGAAUAAGUUGUACAUAAUAUCCAGUUAUCUUGCAGAUGUGUCUGCUGUCUUGCCAGUUUUGCUGGAUUUUUAUGAAAGCAAUGUUUGAACAAAAAUGUACUAUGGCUUGUCGUGAGCAAUUUGGCCAAGUUCAGUUCAAAUUGAAAGAGGGCUGAUCUAUAUUAUUCAGUUCAGGUUCAACCAUAGUAUCGUUCCGAUGUAAUUUGAAUGAAUCCGCACACGAUGAUAAGACACUAAGCGCAGGUUUGUUGCACCUGUACCCUUUUUUUACGUGGAGUUGCACCUGUGCCGUCGGUGGAACGAUUUCAGUUCCAUGAUAAUAUUAUCUUCUAUAUACUCCCUCCGUUCUGAUAAAUAAGGCAUAUCUCAUUUCGUUAAUACAAGACUUUGACCAACAAUUACUUCUAAAAUUUAAUUUAUGUGAUACAAAAUCACAAUCAUAACAAAGUACUUUUAAAAAUGAAUCUAGUAGCACAAAUUUCUUGUCAAGCUUGUAUUUAAGUGUCAAAAAACGUCUUAUAUUAUGGAACGGAGGGAGUAUGUCUUAACGAAACAAAAUACGACUUACUUUUAGGAAUGGAGGUAGUAAACUGGUAGGUCAAACAAUUUUAAUCGCUUCCAGAUGAGAGCAGACUUCAACAUUAGCUGAUCAGGCAGGUGUCCGUUUAUAUCAGGUUCGUUAAAGAAUUAUGGUAAGUAGCAGCUCUCCCAAGUUUCUCAAUAUUGAUAGCCGAAGCCACACAAUUACAACAACCAGACCCUUAGAAUAUGCGUUGCGUUUUCAGAGUCAAAACCAAGACCUCCACAGGAGACAGGCUAAUGGAAAAUAUACAGGGGAGAAGUGAAAUUGCUAGUGUCGGAUGGACAUUUGGAGAUCGACAGCAAAACCCUCCACACCUGAAAUGGCAUGGCUAACUUCCCCAGUACUCCCAUUUUAUUCAG